rnacentral:lncRNA from 1 species
CACCCAUCAAAGGUCAAAACAGGCACGGGUUGAAGUAAGACCAAGACGAAGGGUAGUCAAAGCACGGGGGAAGGGCAACAGAGGCAAAGGAAGGAAAGGGCAAGAAAAUCGAGGAAGAAGAGGAAAGGAUGGAGACUGAGACGAUGGGCAGCUCCAACUCUGGAGAUGUAUUGUCUUUAAGGAAACCAUCCAUUACCCAACACCACCUCCAAACACAAGGGGUUAAUGCGCACAACUCCAUUAGGCCCAACCAUAUCGAUAGACAGUCAACGGUAUGCCGUCCUCCAGAAUAGAGAUAUUACCCACUGGUAUUUUCUCCUAACUAAUGCUCUUGGGUGGUUUGGCAUCAAAGAAAAGGUGGUGGGCUUCUUUGACGGAAUAGGAUAUGGUAAGGUGAUGGAUUGGAACUACCUAGCCUUCAAGAACAUGUCGGAAAAAUAUAUGGAAUCAAUUGACCUCAAAGCCAACGACAACUAUACCAUUGAGACUCCCGGCACCCUGCGCUUUCAACUACGGGGUAAAACAUUCCCUCUCUCCAUCAACGAGUUGAAUGUCCAGUUGGGAGUGAUCGAGUCUAAGGAGUCGUAUGAUGAAGUAUACAAGGAUGCGGAUACAGUGGCCCAUCCGGAAUGGAAAUCUCAUAUUGAGGAUUACUGGUCAAUCAUCUCCACCAAAGACAAGUACAUGAAGAGCAUCAACAAGUCCAACGAGAUUCGCUACCCCGCUCUGCAGAUAUAUCACAGGUGGCUGGCCUACAACAUCUACGGCCGCUUGGAAGGUUCAAACGUCGCCACCAGCAAGAAGUGUUCUUGCUGUGGUGUAUGCUUUAGAAGAAGAGAGUGAACUUCGGGUUAACAGUGGCGCUGCAAUUCCAGUAUGGGGUAUCUCACAACAAUAACUAUCUCUCUCUCUACCCACUGGUGACUCUCCUUGCCAAGAACCUCACUAAUUUCAAUAUGGAAAAGCCCGACGAUAUCCCCGUGGCAGAUACUCACUUCCUCGAUCUAGGUCGCUUCGUGAUUUGGAAGGUGAUUGAGGCAGACGAGAGUGGUAACUACCAUCUGGUCUACCCAGAAGGGAGCUCUGGUAAAGCAGAACCAAAAGCUGCAGGACAGCAAGUGGUACCACACCUUACCAGUAGUGAGAAUGCCACAAUAUUGGCAAACUGAAGGAAUUGCGGAACGAGGUGAGUGAUCACUAUUUUAUUAGCAAUAAAAAUACCGCAACUAACACGGUGUAAUCGUAGUAUAAACAGCAAUCGGAUAUCGUAUCCACAGGGACUGUAAAACGAAAUCACUCUAUCUAUCUCCUACACAGACUCUCACAGUAUGAAAGUAAAACGAUUACGAAGGUGAAUAUUGAACUAAGAUUAACUAAAUAAAACUAAAGAGCAUAAAAACUAUGAUAAUGAACUCAAAUAUAAGGAAAGCUCUGACCCUAGGGAUGUAUUUUCACUAAUCAACUACAUGCAUUCAACCUAUUGAUUCAAUUACCAAUUUUAAUCCAACCCUGAUGAAAGAUCACUAUAUUAUUCACAAGUCGUCUCUAACGACCACCUAUGAACGUAGAUUAAUUAAUCCCUUUUCCAUUCAAGACUCCAAGGAAUAAAUUAACUCCCAAUAAGCACAUAAAGAAAUAGACUUCCUAUAGCUUCACCUGUCGCAUUCAAGACUCAAGGCUAACACUAUAUCAUGCAUUCCUGAAUCGGCUGAACAAUUAUCGCAUUCAAGACUCAAACUGAACAGCUAGACAUGUAAAUCAUUGAUCAGAUAAUUCACAAGAGAUAAGCACCAGGAAUCAUGAAUCAUAAGUUGGAGGGCAAAUUGAUAUCAAUAAAUCAUACCACAUAAUUGAAUCAGCUAUGUACAAACCCUAGGUUCAGAUAAAAACUAGCCAACAUAAUAAAAGAAAGACAAAAACAUAAUUAAUAGAGAACUCAAUUAGAAAGAACUAGAAUUAAAUAAAACUCUGAAUAAAAUAAUUGUAGCGGCUUGAAUCUUCAAUCUGUGGAAAUCCAAUCCAAGCUGUAAAAACUGGAAAGCAAUAAUCUAAAGCUAUAAACUGAGAAAUAAUUGGGAACUGAAAAACUAAGCUGGGAACCAAAUAGGUCAAAAGAGACCUAUUUAUAGUUCAGGGUAAAAUACAGGUUUGACAAAAACUAAAAAUCGAAAACCGAAGGAAACGGAAACACGCCUAACGGCGACCAUCGGCGUCGCCGAAUGGUCGCCGUGGCUAAAAUCCCAAACGGCGCGCCGUUUCUCGAGCAAAAUUGAAACAGGACGGCGACCUCGGCGGUCGCCGUUUGGUCGCCGAUUUGCUCAUAAAAUCUCAAAAUUCGGCGAUCGCUUUGGUCGCAAUUUGACUGCUGCGCGCGACGUUUUUGUUUCGGCCAUAACUUUCUCGUCCGAACUCCGAUUUAUGAUCCUUUGCGCUCACGAACUCGUAUCGAGAAUCUACAACUUCUAUUUCAGAACAUUGUUCCAAAUUCGAACUAAUAAAUCUGAAAUUCCUUCAAAGUUCGAGUAAGAACAUGUUUCACAAGAUAAAGCAAAUUAAGCACAAAACAAAUCAACACUCAAUUUCCUAUAAAAUUACACAUAUGAAAUUAAAAACCAUGGAAAUAUGAGUGUUAUCAACUCCCCCAAACUUAAGCCAUUGUUCGUCCUCGAAUAAUGGGAAGAAUAAAAUCAAUAACACGAAUGGGUAAGAAAUCUAGCUCAUCGAUGCCUCCGAAAAAUAAAGAAUGAUAGAAUUCUCAAAUCCUCAAUAAUCAGGCACAAAAUUCACCAAUAAACAUAACCUAUAGUAAAAUCAACCUUGACAUUCCAAACAAUUGAAUCUCACCAGGUAUGUGUAUCACUCAACUCUCAAUUUGCUGGAAUAGGACGUGUAUGCUCUCAUCGAAUUCAAUGCAACGCAGAUCUCUUACCAUAGGCUUGCCAAUCGUCUACAAUCUCCAUCGCUAAAAGUGUGCCAGGACUAAGAUCAAAAAGGUCUUUUUCUUCGGGUUAUAAUGUAGGGACAUUGGUUAAGGUAGGAAAUAUAGGCUAAGUGACUCAAAUAAUUAAGAACACCAACCUUAUGGCUUCACAGAUCAAGUAUGGAAUAAUUCCAUCUUCCUCCAACUAUGUCACCAUAAUCAACACAACUCAAGGGAUUUAAUCAUCACAAAACAGAACUAAACACUCUUUAUGCUCUCUAUUUAUUUCCAACACACAAAGUUGAUUUUCUAACAAAUUUCNUAACUAAAUAAAACUAAAGAGCAUAAAAACUAUGAUAAUGAACUCAAAUAUAAGGAAAGCUCUGACCCUAGGGAUGUAUUUUCACUAAUCAACUACAUGCAUUCAACCUAUUGAUUCAAUUACCAAUUUUAAUCCAACCCUGAUGAAAGAUCACUAUAUUAUUCACAAGCGUCUCUAACGACCACCUAUGAACGUAGAUUAAUUAAUCCUUUUUCGCAUUCAAGACUCCAAGGAAUAAAUUAACUCCCAAUAGCACAUAAAGAAUAGCUUCCUAUAGCUUCACCUGUCGCAUUCAAGACUCAAGGCUAACACUAUAUCAUGCAUUCCUGAAUCGGCUGAACAAUUAUCGCAUUCAAGACUCAAACUGAACAGCUAGACAUGUAAAUCAUUGAUCAGAUAAUUCACAAGAGAUUAAGCACCAGGAAUCAUGAAUCACAAAUUGGAGGGCAAAUUGAUAUCAAUAAAUCAAAAACACAUAAUCAAUCAGCUAUAUACAAACCCUAGGUUCAGAUUAAAAAACUAGCCAGACAUAAUAAAAGAAAGCAAAAACAUAAUUAAUGAGAACGCAAUUGAAAGAACUGAAUUAAAUAAAACUCUGAAUAAAAUAAUUGUAGCGGCUUGAAUCUUCAAUCUUGUGGAAAUCCAAUCCAAGCUGUAAAAACUGGAAAGCAAUAAAGUUCUAAAGCUAUAAAACUGAAAUAUGAAUGUUGGGAACUGAAAAACUAAAGCUGGGAACCUAAAUAGGUCAAAAGAGGACCUAUUUAUAGUAUCAGGGUAAAAUACAGAGUUUGAGCUCGAAAAAAACUUGAAAAAUCGUAAAAACGCGGAAGGAAACGGAAACACGCCUAAAAACGGCGACCCGUUCGGCGGUCGCCGACCUGGUCGCCGAAAAUGGCCUAAAAAUCCUCCAAAAACGGCGAUCGCCGUUUUUCUUCCUCAAGGCCAAAAUCUGAACAGGGAAAACGGCGACCCGUUCGGCGGUCGCCGUUUUGGUCGCCGAUUUUGCUCAUAAAAUCUCCAAAAUUCGGCGAUCGCCGUUUAGGUCGCCGAAUUUUGACUGCUGCGCGCGACUAUUUUGUUUCGGCCAUAACUUUCUCGUCCGAACUCCGAUUUAUGAUCCGUUUGCGCUCACGAACUCGUAUCGAGACAAUCUACAACUUCUAUUUCAGAACAUUGUUCCAAAUUCGAACUCAAUAAAUCUGAAAAUUCCUUCAAAGUUCGAGUAAGAAUCAUGUUUCACAAGAUAAAGCAAAUUAAGCACAAAACAACUAUCAAACACUCAAUUUCCUAUUAAAUUACCAACAUAAGAACACUAAAAACAAUGGAAACAUGAGUGUUAUCACACGCGACCCGCGUGUCUGACCCUACCCAGUCCGCCUCAUUAAGGGCAAAAGCGUCCAAAUCAAUAAAAAUGGCCAAAAUUUGUGUUUUUUCAAAUGGUGGACAAAAUUUGAUUUUCAUUCUUCAUUAUGGCCAUUUGGGUGGAUUGUUUCAUCUUUAUAUUCAAAAGAAUGAAAAAGCGAUAUAUAUGGAAAAUAUUGAUUCAUAUUGAUCCAAAUAUGAGUGCGAUUGGAGAGCUAACAUAGUGCUCGGCAGAAAUCCACCUAAGCAAUCCCUGAGAGGUACCACGCUCAGCUGCUGUAGCUAAUCGGUUGAACGUGACAUUGUAACUCAGUUUCUGUCCCACUUUUGAGAAUAUCAGUUUACUUGGAUUAAUGCUCACACUAACCCCUCGAGGCGAAACGAUCUCCACAAUGUACGAUGAAUUCGACUCACCAACGUUAGUAACCGUCCUUGUAUACGUCUGCGAAGAAGGUGAAGAUGAUCCAAGAUUGAUGGAGAACGAGUGAUAGUUCAAUUGGCCUCAGGAAUAGAUGUCGUUGUCGAGCAAUCCACCUUGCGCUGAACGAUGAUGCCUACUUGCAAGCUGGAAUAAUUCAAGCCACACAAAUAGGGGACGUAGUCUUCGGGCUGGAGGUCGUACACGAGCCCCGGAUCAGUAGCUCUCGAAGGAUUGACAUGACCUGCGCCUAUUGCGAAGAUAUCAGCAGCAACAUGUGUUUGAUCUUCAAUUGGUUGGCCUCCGAGGUUGGCUCGAUCCGCGGUGGUCAUGAUGGCGGACUUGAUUGCAGCCGGAGACCAGUCGGGGUGCGCGCUCUUCAGCAACGCUGCGACGCCGCUCAGAUGAGGGCACGAAAUGGAGGUGCCGGAGCCCAUGUAGAAUUUGUUAGCUUCAUCUUCAUCAAGGGAUGUGGGCCAAGCUGCAAGAAUGUUGCUUCCGGGCCGAUGAUGUCGGGUUUGAGGAUUCCGGGCUCACGGGCUCGGACCUCUCGAGGAAAACGAAGCUACGAAUGGGGCGUGGGGAUCGCCGAUUUGAGUUCCUUCAAACACGAUUUUGGCGGAUUGGAAGCGUUGGUCAUGUAGGAUUCGAUCUUGAGCGCUUCGGCGUAACUGAUUUGCGACGAGGGAAGAAAAUGCUCGUCGUCGCCUCCUAAGGUUAACGUGUAGCCGCUAGCCUCUGAUUGCAUUGAAAUGAACCGGCGGCGCGGCAUUCUUCGCGGCUUUGCCGGCGGGUUUGCUGGCGGAGCAUAGCACAAUCUUUCCGGAAACAUUGACUUUCUUAAAUGCGCUCACGUCGCAGAUUGAAGAGCCGAAGGGGCUCACGCCAGGGUAAACGAGUUCCAAAUCUGUGGAAGGGAAGUUUCGAGGCUGGAACGCCGCUUGGCCGGCUAAUCUUUGGCCGUCUCCGAGCACUACGGUCGCCGCCAGCCUUCUGUCGAUGGUGCUGGCGCCGACCGUGAGAACCCACGGGGCCCGUUCUUCGCGGUCCAAGCGUCGGGCCCCGUGUUUCUGACGGAGCAGCUGACGAAGAUACCCUUCUCCACCGCGCGGAACGCACCCACCUGGAUGUUAUCACUGUGGAAAGGGGACGGGGGGUGACUUAUCGACAUCGAGAUCACGUCGACGCCGUCUGCGAUGGCGGCGUCGAUUCCGGCGAGCACGUCACUCUCGGGGCAACCGGCCUUGGGUCCACAAACUCUGUACACGGCCACAUGAGCUAGCGGCGCGAUGCCUGCCGCGGUGCCGUUGGCGCUGCCCAAGAUGCUGGCGCCGCUCACGAAAUUCCCGCCGGCCGUGCUGGCAGUGACCGUGCCGUGGCCUAUUUCGUCAGCGGCGGUUUCACUUCCGGCGUCGAAUGUUCUCGCUCCGAUGAGCUUGUUGUUACAGGCUGCGGAUUUGAACCCGCAGUCUCCCUUCCACUUGGCGGGAGGGGGUGGGACCCCCUCGUCGUCGAACGAGGGGUGGCCCGGCGUGAUCCCGGAGUCGAUCAUGCCGAUUAUGACGCCCCUCCCGUAAGUGGAAGCCUUCCAGAAACCGGUGUUCUGGUGCAGCCCCAUGAAGUCGGGAGUGUGGGUCGUGUCGAGUUCGUAAACUCGCUCCCGCCGCGCCGAGACGAAGCCGUCUUUACCUUCGAUGGCUUUCGCUUCAUCUGCUGAUAAUCUCGCUGCGAAGCCGGAGAAAACGUGGCGGUAGUGAUGAAGAAUGCGUGGCUCUUCAUCGGUUACAGCCGUCGCUAAAAAUGAAUGUGGAUCGUCGAUUUGGGGGUCGAUGUGGACGAUGUACGUCGCUAGAUCAGUUUCUGCUCUCACAAACUGCUCGAAAUUGAAUAUGCAGAAGAGAAGUAGAAAACUAAAUGCGAAACUCAUAGCUGUGAAGCUUGCGACAGAUAUUUCAAUGGCGGAACAGAUAGAAGAUAAAAACCUGAUGCUGAGAAUUAUUUAUGCAGGGUUUUCAUCAGGCCUUAUUCAAUAUUGUAAGGAUAGGAUUUUGGCAAGUUCAAAAUUUUUACGUGAUUCCAUUAAUAUAUAAAUAUUACUAUCUUUAUGCUUUGAGGAAAGAACUGGAUUGAGGAAAACAGAUUUAUAUAGUAUUCAGCGAAUGUGUUAUAUUUCUCCAUAAUAUUGUAUCAAUUUCAGUGUAAAUCUACCAUAUAAUCUAUUUAAUUAAAGCUGAAAUAUAUGAUUGUAUACUGAAAACUGAGUUUGGCGAUUUCUAUAAGAUCCCAUCCGCGAGAAAAGUUAGUUAUACGAAGUCAUUAAAAUUUUACGAUCGUAAAACUCCCACACGGAUAGAACCUCACGAAGGAAAAGGAGAACCAUAGUAAGCACCAAGGUUUCAACAAUGAUAAUGAUGUCUUACUUAAUAAAAAAUUAGUAUGUAACCCAUCAAAAUUUAACAGGUAUUAUAUUACACUUUGAUUUUAUAUUGUUUUUAUGAUUAUUUGAAAUAAUCAUUAUGCAAAUUAUUCUUUAAUUAAUUUAAUUUGAUUAAAAUAAAUUGGUGAUAUAUUUCAAAUAUUAAUCUGAUCAAUCGCUUUCACCAAUUAAAUGUAAAAUUUUGGUGAUUUUCAUUGAUGGAGUUAAUUUUAUAAAAGUUCAUUGUGGGAUUGUAGAUUUUAGAAAAAUAAUAAGAAGAAAAUAUGUAAUUUGAUGUAAGAUAUGAUGUAGAAUUUACGUGUCACAUUGAUAUUAAUCGUAUCAUUUGGAGCUUGUAAGAUCAGAAUUAACUGGUGAGUAUAUCUUAUCAAGAGCUUCAAAAGAUCAUAAUUGAUUUUAAUGUGUCAUCUCAUUUGGAGUUCGAAAGGUCCAACCACUUGAAGCUGUCGGGCUAUAGGUCCAACCACUCGAAAGAUGACCGCGACAAAGUAUGACGAUCAGGCUAGGUCCAACCACUUGAAGCUGUCUAAAAUGCAUAUGUUCAUGCGUGUUCUAAGUUCGUUUAAUUAUCCUAACACGUUGGGAUUUUUGUGAAAAUCUUUUUCCGAGUACGUUAUUUUUUUGUCAUUUUUGGUGUGGAUCAUAGAAUAAAGCUUUCGAAGUUAAUAGUCAAAACAAGUUUGGGAUAACUCCAUAUUAAUAUUGGUGGAUUGCAAAGAGGGCGAUAUUAAACAAACUUUGGGGCUAAUUGGAAUUAGGACUUAGCCGCAAAUAUGAGAUUGGAAAUAAGAGAAUUUUGAUUUUUCGAUGGAUAACAAAUUAAUUUCAUUUUAUCCUCUCUGAUUAAACAAAAUUGCAGAUUGGAAUUUAAAAAUGGGGGUGGGGCUUUAGCUAUUCCUUGUUUUUAGAAUCUGAGAAAAAAUUAAACUCGGGUUGAUUUUAAUUAAAAAAAAUACUAAUGAACAAGAAAUUGAUGUGAAUUUAAUCAAAUAUGUGAGGUUGCGUGUUAUCAAUUGUUGUGGAAAUGAGUUUGUGUUGUUAAUUAUCUUUAAUUCACAACCUAUUUGAUGAAUUCAUAACUGAAUUGUAAGCGUUGGUUGUGAAUUCGAGUUGCUAGCAAUAAUGUUAGUUGUGAAUUCUAAUUUUAAAACUUGAAUUCACAACCAAUAAAAGUACAACAAAGACUAUUGCUAGUUGUGAAUUCAAGUUUUAAAGUUCAAAUUCACAACUAGCUAGAAAUAGUGCUAGAUGUGAAUUCGAGUUUUAAAGCUCGAAUUCACGACUAACACUAUUUUUAGUAGUAAAUUCAAGCUUUAAAACUCGAAUUAAUGACUAACAUUAUUUCUAGUUGAAUUCACAAUCAAUAAAACUUGAAUUCACAAGAAACACUAUUGGUAGUUGUGAAUUCAAGUUUUAAAGUUAGAAUUCACAACUAUAAAUAGUGUUAGUCGUGAAUUUGAGUUUUUAAACCUUGAAUUCACGAUUAAAACUAUUUUUAAUUGUGAAUUCAAGCUUUAAAUUAAAACUUGAAUUCACGACUAACAUUAUUUCUAGUUGUGAAUUCAAGCUUUAAAACUCGAAUUCACAACCAAAAUUACCUAUUCAGUUGUGAAUUCGAGUUUUAAAACUUGAAUUCAUAACUAAAAUUAAUGCUAGUUGUAAAUUCGAGUUUUAAAGCUAGAAUUCACAGCUAAGAAUAGACUUGGUUGUGAAUUCGGGUUAAGAUGAUAAUUUGUCAAUUUUUUAUCUGAAGGGUAAAAUGGUAAGUGUGACCAAUUUUUAGAUGGUUAGGAUAUAAACACUUCUUAACAUAUAAAAUACGAAUUAACUACAAUGUAUGAAUUCUAUAUAGAACAUGUAUAAAUUCGCUGUGUAACUGUAUGAAUUGCGAAAAAUAAAUUUUUGCUACCUAUGAAAUUCGAACUCGGGACCAUGAAUUCAUCCAAUAAGGUGAUGAAUCAACCGUAGAUCUUGAUCUAAGGGCUACAAAUGGUUCCUAUUUUAUAUUCUAAGAUGUGCUUGUAGUGACCCGCUCUUUUAUAUAUUUUAAAUCCAGUAAUGAGUGUUUAUUUUUGUUCAUCAGUGAAUGAAAACGGUUAAUAUCCUGAUAUGAAUUCAGCUUAUGAUCCUGAAUUCAUAUUAUUAAAGCAGUCAAUGAUAUUAUUUCAGAGUUAUAACUGACUUAGCAAAGUCACGUUAUUAUUUUUAAGCGAGAUGGAAUUAGAUUUUAUUUUUAUUCAAGUCGUGGAUUAUUUCUGACUCGUGAGUUAAUUAAAUCUGCGGAUUUAAUUUAAAUAUUAGAAAAACAAACGAAUUAAAUCUACGGAUUUAAUUUAGAUUCAUUUUAUAACUUAUCGAUUUUAGCGAGAUAUCACAUGUCGAAAUCGAGAUUUAUGUAAAUAUACAGUAUCAAGCAGAAUCGAAGCCAGUAUUUUAUUACAGUUACAGAAUCACCGAGACAUAGAAAAUACAUCAUUAAUCCUAUACUACAUUUUUUUUCUUCUUUCUUUUUCUUUACAUCACCUUUGCUCCCCACUUCAUUUUGCCACCAUUACAACGCCAAUAAUUCCUUCAUCCUCCACUUAGCUCUCCACUCCACCAAACUUCCCACUUACUCCCUCCAUGUCCUUUAACAUUUCAGUCAGUAAACUCCCUUCACCCAUUUCCUUUGACACCAGAAACUAGAAAAUUUGAAGGAAAGAGAUAGAAUUGUAAAACUGCUGCCAACUUCAAAGGAGGUAAGUCUUGGCUAAAUUUUUCCCAUUCCUCCUUUAUUCACCUGCAUUUAUUAAAACAACAGCACCUUCAAAUUCAUUUCAGUUAUUUCACACUUCAUUCGAUUCAACAACAAGCAAUCAAUUCGAUCACAUUCGAGGUAUUUACUGAGCUCAAUAUGCUAUGUCCUAUAAUGCAUAUUCUCCAUCCAAGUAUGAUCAGUAUACACAUAGAAAAUAGGCUACCACAGUUUAAUAAGAAAGGAUACACCCUAGCUCGUGAUCGGAACAAUUUAGCUAUGACAUCCACACACUGUUAAAUGUUAGCACUGACUUUUCUCACUCAACUGAAUCAAUAUGCAUACUCUUCGACACCAAUCGCGUAAACGAAAACAAACGAGACUAGAGAACUUAGCUUUAGAUUGAGUGGUAGUGGACUGUCGGAGCUCUGUGACUCACGGCGACGGCGGCUCCGGGAAAGGAGGCUGCCGGACUCUUGCUGUUAACAGCAGCGGCUGGCGGCGGCACUCCCAAGCGGCGACGUCCGGCGAUAGAACUCCAGGCCGCGACCCGGCGAAACAGCAGCUGUAGUUGGUGGCGUGGCUCGAACCUUCGACUCCGGAGAUAGCAGCAACAGCGGACCCCUGCUCGGCGGAAAUUGAGUACAGCGGCGGGUGCUCGCGGAUCUCCAGAGAUGUUGCGACGGCGGCGAGUUUGCUUCGCCGGAGAAGAAGUUAUAGCAGCAGCGGCGUCGGGGCUCAGAGAAUCAACGGAGGCGGCGGAAAUCUAGAAGGUAGCCGACGACGCAGCAAUAGGCAACCGUGAGCAGGCCUCUGCUUUGCCACAGAUGAAAGGACGACUGAAUCGGGACCGGAACGACUUGGAGGAGGCGGCCGAGACCAGAACGCGGCGACGAUUUCCAGAAGUCUAGGGCACGAUUGUGGGCUCUGUCGGAGGAGAGAAGGAGACGACGCUGCCAGCCAUUCGCCGGUUGCUCAGUGACGGUCGCCGGAUUCCAGAGCGGCGGCGACGGGCUCCUCAACGAAGGACAAAUCGAGAGAGGUCGAAUUUCUUGAAAGAGGAAUCCUUGACUGAUUUGAAAUGGAGAAGAGGGGUUUUAGGGAAAGGAGGUGUCGGACCUUGGCGUAGCAGAAGCUGACUCGCCGGAUUUCGGAGCGGCGACGGCGACGCCUCGGCUACAGCUGUUCUGAGAGUUUGAGAGUGAGAGACGAGAAUUGAGUUGAAAGGGAGAGAAAGAGAUGUGCGUUCAUUUGUGUGUGUGCGUGAAUUUGUAGGGUAAAAGAGAGAACCGAGAAUGAGUUUGUGGAUGGGCUCCCAUUUAAUUGAGUUGGGCCGAAAGAUUUGGGCCUCCUAGUUAUUAUUUUAUUGGGCUUUGUUAUUUAUUUUCAGUGGGCUUGAGUUGGGCUGGAUUAUUUAUUAAUUUGGGCCUUUAUUUUAUUUUUGUCACGACCGGACUUAACUAAGGAUAGGUAAGCCGGGAAACCGUGACUAGGGAAGGGAAAUUAGGAGAGGGGACAGAAAGGGGUGAUAAAUAAUUAUAAAUGAAUUAAAUUAAGAUUUAGACAUCAUAUGAGAAUAAGUCACACAUAUAUAUAGAUAAUAACGAGUAAUUGGUCAUGAGUAUCCGAUUUAAGUGUUUAUACAAUAACUUGAUUUGACAAUCCAACAUAAUAGGAUAAACUGCAUCAUAACUGAGUGUUCGCAGCGGAAAUGAGAACGUGAUACNNNNNNNNNNNNNNNNNNNNNNNNNNNNNNNNNNNNNNNNNNNNNNNNNNNNNNNNNNNNNNNNNNNNNNNNNNNNNNNNNNNNNNNNNNNNNNNNNNNNNNNNNNNNNNNNNNNNNNNNNNNNNNNNNNNNNNNNNNNNNNNNNNNNNNNNNNNNNNNNNNNNNNNNNNNNNNNNNNNNNNNNNNNNNNNNACUUGAGCCAAUGGAUUAUUUCAAUUGGACCUUUCAUUUAAUUAUUCAGGCCCACUUUUACUUAAUUAAUUAUUAGGCUGCCUUAUGUCGAGCCUUUUAAUUAUUUAAACUUACCACAGUACUUUCUCCCAAUUAUUAAGCCCGAUUGAGUUUUAAGAGGUUAUAAAGCGAGUAAGUCGAAGUAUUUAUUUAUUCUUUUCUAUCGACUACGUGGAGCGGGAUUUAUUUAAUUGACGGAUUAGUAAACCCCGAAGAGAACAGAUUAAUUUUAGUUAAUUAUCCGGCUUCAUGAGACGAGACUUAGCUUUUGUUUAAAAUCCGAUAGCCUGGAUUAACAAUAGAAAAUUCCCUGAUUAUUUUCUCAGAAUAAUGGUUCAUGCAUACGAGAUUCAUGCAUAGUUCAAUUACGCAUUCUCAUUUAAUUGAGAAUAUUCCCUCGAUUUAAAGUCUUACGUUAUUUUCUCGGAUUAAAGGUUGAGCGCAAGAAUAAGAGCUCGUCAAGGAGUCACUAAUCUGUAGCAAAGCUUUGCUAUCAGUGGGCAUUACUUUCAUAUAUAUCAAAUGAGUUUAAUUAAUGUUACGUUCAAGCAAGUUAUUUUCAUGACAAAAUCUUUGAAUUGAAAUUGUUACAACUGUUGUCUUGCCAUAAAAUAUUUAAAUUUCAGUAUGAUAUCUAUCUGAUGUGACUUUUAUCAUGUAAUCGAAUUCGGGUCUUGAGCAGUUGAUAGCUAUCCUGCCAGGGCUAGUGUACACCAGUGGCCGUGAGUCAUCUAGCGGGUUGGCCGGUCAAGUGACCGUGAGAGGUGGCCACCUCUCCGGCACAAAGUUCCAGAUAUGAUAGAUUACAAGAGAACUUAGACUGCAGUCGAACUUUAAGAAUCACAAAUGAAUUUAGUAAGCUUGGGCCUUUUAGCGAAAAACUCCCUUGCUGUACUGUUUAUUAUGGCAUGACAAUUUACAGUUUUGAAGCAUGUAUUUUAUACUUAGGCAUACGUGCCCACUGAGUACUUUUGUACUCAAGCCCUGCAUAUAUUUCUAAAUGUGCAGGUUGAGCAGCUGCCGAUGGUGAUGAAGUGACGAGCAGGAUUCUUUUGUCUUAUUAUGUAUUAAUGAACUCUAGGGUUACAUGCCUUCAUACAUGUAAUCAGAACCUUAUUCCGCUGCGUACUCAGAAGUUUUAUGUUUAUUUGGCUAAGUCAGAGAUAUCUGAACUUACUAGUUAUUUGAGUGUAUACGACUAAACUUCUGUUAUAUUAUAAAUAUUCCUUUUGUUAAAUGAUGAAAUGUGAUCCUUUCUUGUUUGAUUAUUCCCCUUUCUACCCCGCUUCUAAUCUCCCUCCAUUAGUCACGGUUUCCCCGGCUUAAUUAUCCUUAAUUAGGUCUGGUCGUGACAAUGCAAUACAUCUCUGCAACCUGCAUCAGUUUUCUCAAACAAAAUACCAUGGUUUGCAGUUGAUUUUAAGUAUCUAAGGAUCCAUUUCAAUCCAGACCAGUGUUCUUUACCUGGAUCUACCAUAAAUCUACUAGCAGCACUUAUAGCAAAAGAUAUGUCAGGCCUAGUACAAAUCAUGCUAUACAUUAUGCUACCCAUUAUAUUAGCAUAAGGGAUUUUUUGCAUAAAAGCUCUAUCAGUAGCAGUUUUAGGACACUGAGAUUUUGAGAGUUUAAAAUGUUGUGCAAGAGGGGUACUAACUCCUUUAGAGUCAUUAAUCAUGAAUUUCUUAAGAAUCUUUUGCACAUAAUCAUGUUGUGUAAGCCAAAGCUGACCACAUUCUUUGAUCCUAAUCAAAUCCAUACCCAAUAUUCGUUUAGCAUUUCCUAAAUCUUUCAUUUCAAACUUCUGUCUCAAAUCAGCUUUCAGUUUAUUUAUAUCAGUUAUACUUUUACUAGCUACCAACAUAUCAUCAACAUAUAACAAGAGAUAAGUAUAAUCACCAUUGUCAUUCUUUCUAAGAUACACACAAUUAUCAUAAUUGGAUCUGGUAAAACCUAUAUCAUUCAUGUGCCUAUCAAAUUUUAAAUACCAUUUAUCCUUUUCUAAACUGCUUAUGGCUUCUUUAUAACUUUUAGGUUCGCUGUAAUAUAUUUCUUCUGCGGUGGCAAGAGCAUAUGAUAUGAGGUCUGCAUGACCAUAUCUAUCAGGUGGAUGUGUAGAUCUUCUCGUCCUAUCUCUUGCAAGUUGAUAGUUAAACAAAUCAUCUCCUGAGUCUUCAUCAGUCUGAGCUUCUUUAUCUGAUAUUGUUUCCUCAGGAACACCUGUUUCAGCAGCAAUUUCUUCUUCAGUUAUUCUUUCUAACUCCACUUGCAGUGGAAUACUAUCAUUUCCUUGUGAAUUAUUCUGAUUUCUUACAAGGAAAGGCAUCUUGUUUUCUCUGAAAACAACAUCUCUACUCAAGAUAGGCUUCUGCAUCCCAGGCUCUAAGCACCAAAGCUUAUAGCCUUUAACACCUUUUGGAUAGCCAAUAAACACACACUUCAGAGCCCUUGGCUCUAACUUAUCCUGUUUAACAUGUGCAUAUGCCAUACAACCAAACUUUCUGAGAUAUGAGUAAUCAGAAAUCUUCCCAUUCCACAUUUCAUCUGGUGUUUUAAAUUGAAUAGCUGAAGAAGGGCAUUUGUUUAUUAAAUGACAAGUUGUAGCUGCUGCUUCUCCCCAAAACUUUUUAGGCAAUCCACUCUCUGUAAGCAUUGCUCUGACCCUCUCAAGGAUGGUCCUGUUCAUUCUUUCAAUCAAGCCGUUUUGCUGAGGAUUCCCAGGUACAGUUUUGUGCCUCUUAAUCCCUUUUGAUUUACAGAAUUCUUGAAACUCUUCAGACAGGAACUCUAGGCCAUUAUCUGUUCUUAAACAUUUUAGUUUAAGACCCUUUUCUGUCUCUACUUCAUUGUACCAUUCCUCAAAUUUCUUAAAAGCAUCUGAUUUGUUUCUCAAGAUGUAAAUCCACAACUUCCUAGAAUAAUGAUCAACAAGUGAGAGAUAAUAUCUUCCUCCACCUAGAGUCUCAGUCCUUGAUUUUCCCCAAAGAUCACAGUGUACAUAUUCUAGGGGUGAACUGCAUAUCAUGUUGUUGGUAGGAUAGGGCAGCUUCUUGCUCUUAGCUAGAAUACACUCUUCACAGCUUUCAAGUUUGAACUUCGUUGGAUGUUUGAGAAUGCCUUGCUUGAGUAACUCAUUUAGGCCUUUCUUUCCAACAUGUCCAAGCCUUGAAUGCCAUAAGAGUGAUUCAUUCUCAACAUUUACUUCCACUUCUCCUACCAUAGUCUUUGCAAUUAGAUAAUACAGCUUAUUCUCCAUAUUUCCCUUCAUAACUGUAACUGAACCUUUGUUAACAAGUAACUCUCCAUUUUCAGACCUAAAAGUAAAUCCUUUUGACUCUAGCAUUCCAAGAGAGAUAAGGUUUCUCUUUAAAGAUGGAAUAUACCUCACACCUUGUAGAAUUCUCACAACUCCAUCAUACAUUCUCAGUUUGAUGUUACCUAUUCCUUUAACUGGACACAGCUGAUCAUUGCCUAACAUUACAGAACCUUUUUCUGCUGGUUGUAAAUCUAUAGACCAAUCUUCAUAGGGACACAUGUGAAAAGAACAGGCAGAAUCCAUAAUCCAUUUGUCACCAACCUGAUGAUUAACAACAUUUAACAUCUCUGCCUCUUCCACAUGUUCUGUAAUCUCUGCAGAUUCUUGCUUAUUUCCCAUCUCAUUCUGCUUCUUCUUCCAAGAGAAGCAAUUCUUUUUCAGAUGACCUUGUUUCUUACAGUAAUGACACUUCCUAGUCUCCUCAAAGUCCUUUCCCUUUGUUUGAUUUUCUUUCUUAUCAUCAGAUGGAUUCUUCUUUGAUUUCUUCUUGGGCUUACCUUUGACAUAGAGACCUUCAGCAGUCGAUUCCUGUUUAUGCUCUGAAGCCUUUUGCAAUUGUUUAGACUUAAGAGCCUUUAUCACCUCAUCUGCAGUAAUGUUAGUGGUUCUCCCAUACAACAUAGUAUCUUUAAAAUUUUCAAGAGAUUUAGCCAGGGAAUUCAGUAGUAUGAUAGCUUUAUCUUCACAGUCUAAUUUCACAUCAACACUUUCAAGAUCAUCUAAGAUUUUACCAAAAUCAUCUAGUUGAUCAGAAAUAUCUUUAUCAUCAGAAAUUUUAAAAGAGUAUAACCUUUGCUUAAGAUAUAACCUGCUUGCAAGUGAUUUCUGCAGAUAAAGAUCUUCAAGCUUUUUCCAUACAUCCGCUGCACUUUUCUCUCUCGCAACUUCCCUGAGAACUUUGUCACCGAGGCAUAAAAUGAUUGCAGAGUGCGCCUUUUCAUACAUCUCCGUCUUGUCUACUUUCUUGGUGUCAUCGCCCUGAUUUUCUGGUCUCAAAGCGCCAGCAAGUCCUUGCUGCGUAAGAAUAGCCUUCAUUUUGAUCUGCCACAGACCGAAGUCGUUCUUGCCGGUGAACUUCUCGGUCUCGAACUUAGCCAUCGCAUCCUCGUCUUCGCCGCGAUUCGAUUCGAUCCAAAUUCCCACAGGCGGCGCCAAUUCUUAAUUCAAUUGAAUCAAUUGUGGAUCGAAAAACUCGAACAAGAAACGAAGAACACACGACACAAUCGUUUACGUGGUUCAGCUCAAAUUGAGCCUACGUCCACGGGGGUUAACCAGCGAUGUUUAUUGAUCAAUCUGUGAAGGAUUACAAGAGUACAACAGUAGGCAAGAACACACACUCAAAACCGAGCUGAUUCGCGGUUCUAAACUCUCCUACCUCUUCUCUCAGUUUUUCAUUCAAUCUCUAAUACAAUCACUGAAUAGAAAAUGAACUAACUACUUAACAAAGUAACCGCUAAUCUAUAUAAAACAUAAAAGCUACCAGCUGGAUUGAAUCACCAUCGUUAACUGCACUUCAAAUCAGAUCAGCUCUCUUGAAAGCAUGUCUUCAUGCAUAACAGGAAAUAGAUCCCCUUUUCAGCAAAGUCCCUCGACUUAAGUUGCUAUUUCACUUAAACCCCCAGCUAAAAGCGUGUUUAUGUAGAUUACACUUCUACAAAAUGAAAAGAGUAUUUUUUUUUUCUUAAUUCACAGCUCAAAGUCUCAACUCUCAAGUUAUGGUAGGCAGACAUUUCUUUCCUUUUUUCUUACUCUUCGGACUCUAGUCCUCUCUCAAAUCUGUUUUUGUUUUUUAGUUUUUCUAAAAAAUAUUUUUAAAAUUGAAUUGAGUGAGAGAAAAAAAAAAAGCGAACUGAAGCCUAAAGCAAAGGAAAUGCAGCUUUUUGGGGAUACAUAACACUCACUAUAAAAUUUUUUAAUAUAUAAUAAUAUAUACUAUUAAAAAAAAAGAUUUUGGGGUACAGUAGCACCCCUACUGCCCUACUCUCGGUCCGCCCCUAGCGAUGUCUGUGCUUUGUGUGGAUGUUGGAUUGUAUUUAUUUGAAUAUUUGAUCUAUUUUGUAAUAGCAUAAUUGUAAUUUAGAAAAUUCAAGUGUAAUACAUAUGUAUUUUGUAUCUCUAAAAGUAAGAAUAAAUAUGUUAUAGUAAUAAAUUUUAUUUUUAUAACAAAUAUUAAAAAAUAGAUUUAAUAGUAAGAUACAAAUGAAAUACUAGAAUAUAUAUGGACAUAAUAUCCGAACGACGUGGUCUUGAGUACACCCGGGUGUACCGUACAACCGGAUUAUACCUUUAUUUAAACUUUGACCCGCAUCCUGAUUUGAAUUCAUAUCCUGACCUGACCAAACCCAUAUAAAUAAUAACUCUUCUGGGUACGGGUCAAUCCGGUUGUACAGUACAUUCAAGUGUACCCAAGAUUUUGUGUAUCCGAACAUAUACGUUCACCAUUAAAACUUGUUUUUUUAUAAAUUAAUAAUUAAAUAAUUAAAUUUAAUAAUUUUAUUAUGAUAAAUUCAAACUCAAAACUUUUAACUUUAAAUAUUAAUCACUUUAGUGGUAGAUUAACACAACGACGCCACCAUUAGAACUAUUUAGAGUAGUAGUACUUGUGUAAGCACUUUUUAUUGAGUCCCAAACCCGAAUAAAGCUUUCGCAACUCCACUUUUACACUCAUUAUUGUGAAAAAAAAUUAAGUACAUAGUUUUGCAGUGCAGUUUAAGUUAAUUAAAAUUUUAGAAAAGUUACAGUGGGAAUUGGGAUGGCCUCGCAACUCGUAAAAGUAGUACACCCCAUUUCCUAUUAUUGGCUAAUUAUUAACAGGGAAAUCAUGUUUAAAUCCAUAAUUUUUCCUCUCUUUUUUUUUUUUUUUUGCGUGGGAGAGUAGGAUUUUAGAUUCCGCUGUUUAUAAUAUGUAUAUCAAUGAUAUGAGAUUUUCUUUAUAUUUUCACGUUUAUACUAAUAAUAAUAAUUAUUGGUGCAAAUUACAGUUGUUGAAUAUCACAUCGCUUUGUUAAAUGACGUGUUAUAUAAUGUACGUAACAAGUUUUAAUAAAGCUAAGCAUGUUCUCAAAAAACCAAAACAAAAUAAAAAUGAAAAAAAUUAAGCUAAGCUAAUAUGUAGCGUAUGUAUCAAUCUGAAUGUAAACGGUCGAACCUAACACAUUACUCUUUGAACUUAAUUUGAUUUUUAUUGGUAACUAAUCAUGAUUUUCAUUGUAAGUACAUGAAUAUGGAACACAGCUUUCGGAGAUGUUUAUAUAUGGGAAAAUGGGCCUAUAAAUAAUGCUGGGCUCUGUAAAUCUAAUAUUUAUGCCUCAUUUUAGUUAAGGACAGCCCAACAUCCCAAGUUCCAUCUAUUCUAGAAACUUAACUCUCAAACAUUUACUUGUUUCCUUAUGAUCUGUCACGUAAAAUAGAAAUUUAUAUUGGAAAGUCAGACAUUCAACUAAAUUUUAUGUGUUACCAAUACAAUAAUGUUAAUUUUCAGGACAGUGUAAAGCCAAUUAUAAGUUAGUGAAAAUCAAUACCAAAUACGUCUAUAAUGUUGUAACUACAUAAGUGAGAGAGCAACUGAAUUUUGAAGAUUCACAGCAGAAAACACAUCUUUCAAAUAUUAAUUUUCCAUUGAACUAUACUAUCAUCGCUUCGUAGUAGAAAAUGUUACAUCUUUGAUUUUUUUUUCUUUCUAGACAAUAAAAAUAUUGAGCAAAACAGAGGUGAUUUAGCGGCCAAACAUGUAAUCCUAGCUAAAAAAAAUAAUAAUCAAGAUUUGAUCAACCCCUACAUUUUAUGAGGCUGAAGAGAAACCGCAUGCUUAGCAUCGCCAAUAUAAAGUCCAUGGUCUCCCAUCGGAAUCCGGCGGACCCCUCCACUAUCCACCACGCUAAGGUACUUGCAAACACGGACACCCAGAGCAACUCGUUGCUUCCCUCCAGCGGGAAUACCCAGUGUUUGGAAAGCAACUAGUUGCUUCUGGGGGGCCCAGUCGCCACCCCCGGGUGGAGACGCAAACAUGAGCAGUGUGUGGGUCCCGUGUCUCGACCCGGUGUUCUCGACAUCCACGUGCACCCUAAGUGUGAGGUUCUUGCAGCUAGCAUGAGCCACUCGGACCAACUUGUUGGAAAAGGUGGUGGAGUUGGGUCGAUGGGCGCCUCCCAUUGGGAUUGUCAACACUUUUGGUGCCUUGGCAAUGGUGUGUUUGAAGGUGGUGUAGCUCAAACCGUAGCCGUACGGAUAGACCACCGGUCCUUUGUAGAAGCGGUAAGUCCUCCCGGGAUAGUUUUUGGAAGGGUUGGCUCUCAUAUCCAUUGUUGUCAUAGGCAAGUUGUUGAGAUACUCUUGAGGAUACCAUGUCAUCGGAAGCUUCCCACCUAUAUAUACAUGUAAAAUUAAAUUAUAUUUCUCAUCUCAAAAUUGAAAAUUGUGGUGACAAAUAUAAAUACCAGGAUUGUGUGCUCCAAACAGAACAUCAGCAAUGGCGGCACCUCCGGCUUGGCCCGGAUAGCCGGCCCAUAGAAUUGCGCCAAUCCGGGCAUCGUUUUGGGCGAAGGAAACAUCCAAGGGCCCACCACUCAUUAACACCAAAAUGGUGGGGCCCUUGGAGGCUGAGGCCACCUUGGUCACGAGCUCCUGCUGGCGUCCAGGCAGCAGGAGCCCGACCCUGUCCACAAACUCGGCCUCGAUAGACUGGUCAAGUCCCAUGACUAGCACGGUCGCAUCUGCCUUGCUGGCAGCCUCGAUCGCUCUAUCAAAUAGCUCAUCCUUGGCGCAUGCCACGCCACCACAACCCUCGUUUGAAUCGUCCUUGUAUACUUCCUUAUUCCUUGCAACGGACUUGUAUAUCCACAAGGAACACCUACAACCCCCAAAACCAACCAAAUAUUUUUACAAUUAAUUUUAAAAAAAGAAAAAAAUGAAAAGAAAAGGAAUACUAUAACUGACCCGCAUAAUUCCCAAUCAUUGUGAGAGUGGCAUCGGAGUUAGGUCCAAUGACAGCUACGGAACCCAAUCGUUGUUGAGAGAGAGGGAGGACAGGGCCAUCGUUUUUCAACAAAACAAUGCCCUGUCUCGCGGCCUGCAGCGCGAGUUCCUGGUGUCUCGCGCUGCAGACGUGUUUUGGGCCGAGGUUGCCGUGGGGCUGGGAAGACGGCUCGCCGUCGAACAUUCCGAGCCUCAUUUGAACAGAGAUGGUGUUGGUGAGCGCAGCAUCCACAUCCGCCUCUUUCAGCAACUCUUUGGCGACUGCGUUUUCCGUGUGCUGGGCGAGAAAAGGCCCACAAUCCAAAUCCAGACCUGCUUUGACGGCGGCGGCGGCGGCUUCCUCGGGGGUGCGCGUGUAAUGCUGAGUGUUGAAGAAUACGCCGACGGAGUCACAAUCGGAGACGAUGUAGCCUUUUAAACCCCAAGCGCCGCGAAUAGUUUUGCGGAGAAGUUUAGGAUCGGCGCAGGUGGGAACGCCGUUGACUUGGUUGUAAGAACACAUAACACUUGCAACUCUGCCUUCUCUUACACAGCUUCUAAACGGAAUGCUAAAUGUAUCUUCCAAAUCCUGCGCACUCACCUGCACCCCAUGCACACAUUUCUUUUAUUUUUAUUUUUAUUUUUCCUAAUAUCAACUACUAUGUAUAAAUUUAUUUACCUUUUUAUAGAGAAAUGUGCUUUUCAAAUUAUAUCUCACCGUGUGAUUUUAAGAUUGAUUUGGUAUAUGAUUUAUAAGGAAAUGAAUAUAAAUUGAAAAAAAAAAUUAUACCAAAGCGUUAAAAUGGAAUCUGUCGACGCCAUUCCAAUUAUCAAGAUCGUAGGCCGUGUAAUGCUUGCAAGAUGCCGCCACCUUCAAGCGGUCGCCGCGGCCGGUCCCCUGUAAACCUUUGACGUAGCUGGCGGCGUAUUUACCGGCUGCCACCGGAUCUUCACCGGGAGUCUCCUGUCCGCGGCCCCACCUUGGGUCGCGGAAUAUGUUCACGUUCGGGCUCCAAUACGUUAGGCCCGCUUGCCCGCCAUUGUACAUCGCUCGGGCCUCGUCCGACACCACCUGCCCAUAAUUCCAUUAUUUCUCGGCCCCUUAACCAUACACUUCUAUAUUUAGAUCCAAAAUUCAUAUUUUAAGGACGAAAGUUAUUAAUUAGUUCACAAAUAAUAAAAUUAAUUCCUCGCAUCUGAUUGGUUGCAACAUGCAGAAUAAAGUUUUGUGCUUUCAACUUUUUAACUGUUUUAUCUAAGUCUCAUGCUGCUUUAUUUUAUCUUCAUUUUGUUUUUUUAUUCUUUUUCACGAGUUCAUACACUUUAUUAAACUAAAAAAUUUCAAGAUUUUUAUCCUCUCUUUUGACCUAUGCCAAAAGUUUCUUUAUUCGAAAUUAAGUCACGUUUCUUGUAAUGGCCAAAUACCAAUGAGAAAUUAAUUAAAGCACUAGAAUGCCAAUUUUGUAAUGGGUCUAAUCUUAUCUACACAACUUUUGUAUGAUAAUAUAUAUAAUAUCAUCGUUAUACAUGUAAUAUCUAUGUAUCGGCGUUAUGCUUUAUUUUAUUCAAUUCUAUCCUAUUCAUUCUUACUUUUUUUCUUGUGAUCUAAUUAGCUAGAAUUAAUAAUGUUGAAAUAUAUGCAAACUUGUACGCUUUUGUCUUCUAUUUUGUUAAAGUUUACUCCUUGUUUUCCAAAUCAAGUGAUACACGACUUCUUCUACAGUAUCCAAAUUAUUUGUGAUAAAAACAACCAUAGAAAUAUAAAACGUUACUUUUAAAAUGACAUCAUCAUUAUACACGUAAUAUUCACUUAUCGAUAUGGACUAACAAAAACAAUUGCAUGAGACAAACGAAUCAAAACCGCACCUUUCCGAUCUCUUCCCACAAGGAAGUAUUGAAAGAGGCCGCCGUGGUGAUGACCUGCGGGAAGCUGGUGGCGCCGGGGAAUUCGCCGCCGAACUUGGUCCCCGGCCCCACGUUGGAGACGCCGUGAAGCGCCUCCGACCACCAGUCGUAGCCCAUGAUCCCCAGGCGGGGCACGGGCGCCGCAUUGUUCACGAGCAGCUUCACCUUCUCCUGCAAUGUCAGACGUCCGAUCAAAUCCUUGGCUCUCUCCGCCGUCGAUAAAUCGGUUUUGCAAAACGGCAGCUUUUUGGUGGCGGAAUUGGUGGGGUCGCAGGCGAAUGGCUUUCGAGUUUCUGCGGCUGCACAAAUUGUAAAUAUGAAGUAUAAUGCAAGAAUGCAAGAUUUUGAUCUCGUCAUAGUUUUGGUGGAAAUAAUGUUUGUGUGUUGUGGAAGUUAAUUAAGGAAUGAGAAAGUGAAGUAGGUUUAUAUAGACAUUUUAUGGCCAUUGAGAAAUGAUGAUUUGCACGAAUUUGAUAUAAUAAUUCGACUGUUGCAACUUUUUUCAUUUUUGGGAGGUAAAAGAAUUUGCAAGGAUAUAUGCAUGGGAUAAUUAAUGUAUUUUUUUUUUAAUUCUUAAUUCAUAAUUGAUGUCUCAUUUCGUUUUUGUUCUGUUUUGUAUAGGAUACUUGUACGACGAAUUUUCAUCAAUUAGUUAAAAAGAUGAAAAAAAAAAUUAAAUAUUAAGUCUCAUAUAUAUAAAUCAAAGAUAUUUUGAAGAAAAAAAAAUACUAUAGGUUUUUUGGUUGAUAAGUUUCCUUUUAAUUUAAGUAUCAUUUAACUCUUCCUAAAAGUUAAUGUGGGGUUUGUUAAAAAAAAACAAAGUUAAUGUGGGGUACGUAUGUAGUUCACACCCUUAAUGUCUUUUAAGUAAAAUAAAUCUCAUUUACUAUCGCAUUAAGCUGCAUUGCUUUGAUUAAUUUCACUUCUAUAACUCUCAACUAAUGUAACUCGUAGUAUUUAUAUCGGGAAAAAAAAGUUGAAUUUGCAAGCUAUAAUUACCAUGUGGAGAUCAAAGCACAUUAAGGAAGUUUGUUUUAUUUAUUUGUUUUCCACAAUAAAAAGAUCAAACUUGAUAGAACAUUUUCUACGUUAUUCCUUUUAAAUGCAACAACCUUCAAGGGUCCGACCAAAAUUUAAGAAUAAGAUGCAUGCAAAUUAAUAUGCAUAUUAAUUACUGCUAUUUUUUUCUUGUCACAAGAGGCGAUUAAUUUAUAUGUGUUGUGAUGUACAUUAAUACUAGUAUUUCAUUUUAUGGCAAAACCUUAUAUGUCAUGUGCCAUUGUUUGAUAUAUUUUUUAUUUGAUUCAGAAUUCAGUUAUAUGGUUAACGAUUGAUUAUCCUAGGUUUUAAUCUAUGAACGUGAUAUAUAGGAACUGAGCUCGAUCGACAGCUCGCGAUAAUAAAUAUAAAAAAUAUAAUAGAGUAGUAAUUUGAUUCCAAUCAAUCUUAAGAAUAAUUAAAAGUAAAAGAGAUAUACGAAUCAAGCUCUGCCUUUAUCCGAGAUAAAACAGACAAUCAAUAUUGGUUUAAUUGGUGUAAGCAGCUAGAAAUAGACGGUGAAAUAUUAGAAGAAAUAGAAAAAUGGAUGUGACGUAACAUAAGAUAGAAAUCAUAUUUAUGCCUUUCCUACAAAUGCCCAUCUUUUAUAGAGUAUGACUUUGCUUGUAAGUGAGAGGACACUAUCUCUCUUUAACUUGCAUUAUUCAUCAUUCUAUUUUAUUUACUUCUUUUCAUUUCUCUAUUUUAUAAAAUUUAACAGGAAUAAGAAGAUAAGGUACGUUAGAAUUUGAGAAAUUUAUAUCUGACAGAUUCCGAAAAGUUUUAAAUUUAAAUUCAUUAGUUGUAAUCGCUUUGUAAUACAUUUGUGGGUUGUCAAAAAUCUUGAUUAUUUAUCUUGCCAAAAUUUAACAUAACAUUUGGGAUUUUCAAUUGUUUGCUUAAAAGUAAAAAUCAGAAAUAAAAUCUUUAAUAUUUUUUUUAUCAAUAUAGUCGUAAUUUUAUGUAUCAAAAUAAAGAGACGACGAAAUGUAAUUCAAUUGGUAAGGCACUUUUCCUCUAAUUAGUAGGUCGAGGGAUUGUUAAUGUGUGUGAUCACCUAUAAAUGAUUUGUGGUCGACCGCAUGGUGCAGAUGGCAGACAGGAGGAGAAUUUGUGUAUAAAUAUAAGUAGACCAUUAACCAAAGUUUAAUAAUUUACAAAAGCUACUGCUUCAAAAAAAUAUCUUGAUUUUUGUUUAAAUUAGUAAUUAGUAGUACUACUUUUUUAGCCCUGUGUUUGAUCUCUAUGUUAUGUUCACUGCAUCAUAUGUUGUGAUCUCUUAUUUCUUUGUUCAUUGUACAUUAUCUCAUAUUUGGAUUAGUUACCCCAAUCAACUAACAACCCUUUUUAUAAUACGAAGUUGGGGAUGAUUAUUGUCUAAGUCAAUAUCAUUGGUGAUUGAAAUUAGCAGAGAAAAAAUUAAUUGAGAACAUGCCAUUAUAUCCCUUUCACCAAACGGCAAUAAUUAGAUGUCAAAAUCAAAUGGUUAUAAUGCGAUGAACAAAAUCGGACCUAUGGGGUUCUUUGCAAAUCAUUUGCAUUUUUACAGCUCUAUAUAUAUCAUAUCGAACUGAAAGUUUUAGAAUUUUUAUUUAAUUUUAUAUAUAUAGAUAGAUAGAUACAGAGAAAGAGAAAGAGAUAUCAUAAUAAAAAAAUUUACUUAAAUUUGAACUUUAUUUUGUAAAUUUUACUUACAUUUGAUUUACACUUGUAAAUAAAAAAAAAUACUACUAAGCUGGAUAAUAUGUAGAUGGGUUUUGGAUUGCAAUCUAACUUAAUUAAAGUUCUUUUUUCAUGUAUACGCCCAUCACAGACUCGUAGUUUAAAUUCCACCAAUAUUUUUUGAGAUCUUAACACUAAAAUAGAAUUAACACAAACAUAAUUAAAUAGUGACUUAAAAUGGAUUGUGACUCAUGGGAUGUAACAUGAAUUCAUUUCGUCAACUAUGAGAAAUGAAAUGGUGGGCGGUGGUAAGAGAUAGGAUUUUCAUGUAUAGAUAUACUCCUACUUUAUAUCCAUUGAAAAUUUGUUCUAGUUGUCGAGAUUAUCCAAACCCAUCUUAUUUUUCAAACUUCUAAUCAUGGAUUGUUUUUCCUUAAAGAAUGCUAAUUCCUGGUAGUUGAAUUAAACGAGUUUGGUCAUUGAUAAUUUAAACACUAAAACUAAACAGACAUAUUACCAAUAUGAAGCAAGCAAAAAAACUCCCCGUCACAUAAGUGCCAUCCAAUAUUAGUAACGAAAGUAAGUCGUUCAUAUUAUAGGUAAGAUCAAAUAGAUUAUUACCUCUCUAAUACGUAAAAUCCAAUAUGAUACUAUGACUGUAUUAUCUUUCCCUCUCGUUGUAUGUAAGCUCUAACGCAUUUUAAUAUAUACAAUAAUGCAUCUUUUGAUGAUAGAUCAUAUAAUGAUCAAUAAUUUAGAUUAAAUACUAUUCAAGGAAAAUUUUCUAUAUGAUCGUGUCCCAUAUUAUAUAUAUAUGCACACACGUCACUUCCUUUUAUAAAAGCAAUAUAAUCAGUAGCACAGUAGCACUUGAUACCAACAAUAAGCAGAGAUUUAGUAGAUGGUGUAGUCAUGUAGGUCACAACUUCAACCAAGAAAUAUAUUAAACCCUAUCCCCACUUGACCACUUGCUUAUCAAGACAUCUUCUAGGCUUCUUAGAGCUUUGCAUUUCCCCAGCUGCAUUUUUUUUAUUCAAAAAGAAAUAAAAAGAAGCAUAUAUACAUACACAUGCACUAUAUAUGCACAUUAUAUAUAUAUUUAUAAAAGAUAAGAUAUGAUAUGUAAUGAAAAUGUAACUGCAUAUCUAGGAACCCAAAUUUGAUUAAAAAAGGCUGGAGACUCCAAGAUACCAAGGGUAAGGGAGGAAAAAGCCACCUCAUAAAUCCCUUCAUAACUACGCCGCCUUAUUAUUACUCUUGCCAGGAAUCUCAUUUAGCACCGGCACAACCCAAAACGACGUGGUAUUCCUCUCUUCCCACCACCACCUAACUUGACACCAGCCAUCUUCAUCAAGAUGGUGAACUCUGCAUAAACUUUACCUGUGCAUCAAGUCUCUUCACCUUUCAUCACUGAUAACCAGAUAUCUAUUAUCAUGACAACUACAUGGGCAGGCCCCUUUCGACUUUUGAGUAUCAGUUCAAAAGCAGAUAGGCACAUUAACAAUCCUCUAAAUAUCCAGUGAAGAUUGAUGAGCUCCGCCACUAGGAAUUCAUUGUAAAAACAAGAGGUAAUAUAUAUCCCAUUCUUUUUCUCAUGACAGAAAUUGACGCCCCCCCAACUACAAAACUCACAUAAACUUGAGUUAGUGAGGCGAGUGACACUCCUUAAAAGCUCUAAUAUCUAAGGAGUAGGUGUCUACCCAACUAAUAUACUACCGGUUUACUACCAUGAACAAUUUCAAUAGAAUGACACUGGUUACUUAGCAAGCGUUGUUUUCAAGAGCUGCAUCAGGCAGAGAUUCAAACAGAAAAAACAAUAGUGUUUUCUGCAAAUAGUCACAGAGAUAUGAUAUAUAUCCAUUUAUCUAGCACUAACUCCUCAUAGACCGCCAAAUUUCAGAUAAAAAUUGUACAGAGCAGAUGCAGAGGAAGUUCACCUUACAAAUUUGAAGGACACAGUAUAUAAGUUUUAACAACUAUCAAAUCAAACCAACCUGAAAGAAAUCAAUCUUCUAUCCAUUCCAUAUUUGAUCUUUUCAAUCUUCUUCAAGAAAGAAGAGUUAUGGUCAUAGCCAUUAGUCAUUUUUAUGUCGACAACCUUAAUUAAUAUACUGAGAGACCCAUUUGAAACCAUCACCAUAGCCCAUUUUGCGCACAAUGCUGCACAUGAAUACCUCCAGAGGGCGCACAUUAGAAUCUGCAAGAUUAACCUUUCCUUUGCCAGUUGUUACACCUGUCAAGCCAAGGUGAUAAAGUAAUUCAUCUUCUGAGGCAGCAUAUGGUAUGUCAAUCUUGUUUCCCAAAAUGAGAAAUGGGACAGUGGCAAGGGCCUCAUCAGAUAGGAGUGCAUCUAGUUCUUUCUUAGAUUCUGCAAAACGUUCCUUGUCAUAGGCAUCCACUAAGUAAACAACAGCAUCAACCUGCAGACCACAAGACAUAUUUCUAAUUACAUAAUAAAUUUCAUAAGGUUAAAGUGCUUGGGGAUGACAAAAUCAUCAAAUAUGGAAUAGAAGAGUAACCGUUAUGAAGUUCGGCACUUCCUUAGGUGAUAAUGUGGUUAAAUGGUUUGUGCUUUCUUGUAGACAAAAUACUGACUUAGAAUUUGAGAUCCAUAUGUUUCCUGUGGUCAAAUUUCAUGACUGAAUAUAUUUUGAAGCAGUAAGUAGAAUCUCUCAACCCCAUUGCAACUUAAGGCUGCUAUUGAUUACACUGCAAUAAAGAUGAAUCCAAUCUCAUUAACUAGUCUUACACUCAGCAGUGUCUAAGCUUACUACAUAUCAAAAACUGCUUUUUUACAUGCGUUGCUCUCAUGAUCCUACACCGUAUGUGUUGAGGUGCUUGACGAAGUAAGCUCACCAAAGAGAAGUAUCUCACAAAGCAUAUUGGGAUUGAGCCAUUUAGGGGGCGUUUACUUUUAAAGAUUAGUCUUGAUAGAUAAAAAUAGUAAGACUAAUCCCUUGUUUACUUAGGUGGAUUGGAACUUUGGGAUAUCCCAAUGUCCUUGAUUAUUUCUAUCAUUUAAGCUAGUUUUGCUUGAUUCAUAUCCCAUUGAAAGGGUGAGAUUGGAGAAAUCCUACUUUUGAGGAUAAAAACACUCAAUCAUGCAUCUUAUCAAUCAUGCAAAGUAAACACCCCCUUAGGGUAUUCCAUUGAAUUAUAUCGAUACAUUACAUAAGUCCAUUUUAUUGUAAUUUCAGAUAUCAUGGCAAAGCCCAAAAGUAAGAGCUAAAAAGAGCUUUGAACUGUUACAUUGGUAUAUAAUGUGUUUCCAAAAUAUUAGCUUAUUACUGUGCUAACACGGGAAUGAGCAAAACAUAUAUAUUCACCAUAACAGUUCAAAUACCAGAAGCAUCUUUAAUCAGGCAUAAUCACCUCCAUUAGCAAGCAAACCAGACAAAGUUUCAGUCAAUAGAAAGUAGAACACACAAUUCACAUUACAAGGCCCAAUUUUCCAGCAAAAAACUAGCUUCAUCUAUUGCAAGAAAGUUAAACCCUUCAAACCAUGAAAACAAAAAUAAAUUUAAACCCAAAUACGACUCAAACAAUUCCAGAAACACAGCUGAAACUUUAGGAACACCCCUUCUAAUUUCCAGAAUUUUUUUUAUAAAUAUACCGUUUACUCAUUGAUCCGAAGAUGGCAAACCCCACAAUUAACAAUUUCCAGAGAAUUGAGCAAAACAAAUAUCACAACAACGGAAACACCUUCGAAAGCAGAAUCAACAAAACAGACUGAAUCACAUCUACCUUAGCAUAAUAGUCCUUCCACACUCUACGAGCGAUCUGAUGACCUCCUAAAUCGAAAGCUUUGAACUUAAUUUUGCCAAUACUGAGCUCCUCCGACGUCGGAUAUUGCGUCGGCUGAUGCUGCACUAAUCUCUGAAUCAAAACACAAUUCCAUAAUCAGGAUCCAUUAAUCAAUAAAAAACCCUGACAAGUAGAAAACAAAAACAGCAAAAGAAAGAAAGAAGACCUCAUCCUUGAGCAUGUGAAGGAGCGUGGUUUUGCCUGCAUUAUCGAGGCCGAGGAACAAGAUCUUAGCCUCCUUCUGCCAUAAACCGAGAGAAGCCAAAACGCCGUAAAACCAGUCCAACAGAAACAUGGGUGAUCGGCGGCAGAUCUCGUUUGAUUGAGGCGGAGAAAUUGAUAGUGACGGUGGCGGAGUAGUACUAAUCUCGACAAAUUGGGGAAAAUUAUUAUAAUUAAUAAAUAUAAAAUGCGUGGCUCACGUGUACAUUUUCAUUGUUGCUGGCUGCUAAUUAUAUUUUCACCCUCCAACUUUUCACAUUUAAAAUACAGAUUCCAUUUUGUUAUACAUUAUAUAUUUUUUUUUGAAGCGUUCGAUUUUGUUAUAUGGAUGUCAGUGGGGUUAUUUAAGUGCGGAUUAACUAAUUUUUAAAAAAAAUGAAUUAAAAUUUUUUAAUCAUAAUUUUAAAUAUACGUAUUUCGAGCUAGUCCAUCAAAUUAGUCACGCUCGAAAAUUUAUUUAAUAAAAUUAAUUAAUAUAAAUUUCUAUUGAUAAUAUUAUAAUUAUAAUAACUAAAUACAUACAUAAAUAAGUACUACAUACUAUAUUUUAUCAUCAAUUUACAUAAUGAUUAAAAUGCAAUUUUUGGAGAUAUAAAGAUGCACUCAAAUGGAUUAAAUACACAUAGACGUGAAAUGCUGAGUAUAAUUUUCUAAUAUUGAAUCAAAAUACAUUUCAAAAACUUUUGAAAAAAAAAUAGUUUACUAAUUUUCAAAAGUAAAGUAAUAAAGUUGAAAAUUAAUAACAAGAAAAAUUUCAUAUAACAGGGCAAAUACAUAUUUUUAAGUCAAACCUAUAGAGUUAGGGCAAUUUUCAGGACAAUUUUAUUGGAUAUCGAACUAUUCAAAUUGUAAUUUUAUCGAAUAUUUUUUUUUAAGUUCUAACCUUCUUAAAUUGUCGAUCCAAUUCGAAUGGUAAUAAUACGGAUUUUUUCCCCCACAUCAUACUAAAACAAUUUGUGUGAAAUUCAUGCUAACUGCGCGAUUUCUCGUAUACCGCAAAAAUUAAGUUAUUCUAAAUUUGAAAACACUAUACAUUCAUUAUUUUGGUGACCAUAUAUCAUUACUAAAAGUAUUAUCUAAAUCAGAAACUUUUAGUAUAUAAGUAUAAAAAGUGGUAGAUGGGUUUAAGAAUUUUUAGAAUUACAACGUGAAUUUGCAUAAUUGUAUAAUGCAUUCUAUCCUCUCUUUUUUGUAAAGAUUCAAAUCCUAACAUUGAUAAUAUUGUUAAUCAACCAACUAGAUCACCCGAGUUAUGACUGAUUUGUUCCAUAACUUAUUUAAAAGUACAAAUAAAUAUAAUUUGUGUCACGUUCACGAUAUUUUGAAAUAUGUUCUCAACUUAAACUUUUUUUUUUAGAUAUAAGAUAUAGCCACAAUGUCAUUUAAAAGGUAAGAUUAUCUACCUAUCUUAACAACCACCAAAUAAACCAACCUAACACUACCAAAUAUUCGAAUACGAAGAAAUAAUACGUUUGAUGGGUGUUGACACCAUCUAAUUAUGGUUUAGUGAGUUCUUAAACUACAAAUUAUGACUUACCAUACUACAUUAAUGUGAAGACUAAAAUUUAAUAGAUAUUCCAUCACAAAAAACUUGCAUACCUUAUUCAAAUAGCUUAGUUGGUGGAGUGAAUAAAUUCAUAGGUGCGAGUGCGACGAAUCUACAAAAGAGAGUCUAGGGUUUAAAAUUAAUAACUAUAUAUUUUAGUUGCCAUUUUAUAUAGCAUAUAUAUUACAGUACUAGUGUAUUUUCAUUAGAUUUAAUGUCCUGUAGACAUAUAUUCUAAUUGAUUGUGACUAAAUUUUCCAAAAUAAACCAAUCAAAAUUUCCUUUUAGGGCAGAUACAAAUUUAUAUGAAGAUGGAAUAGUUUCAAAGUGACAUUAUUGCCCUUAUCUAUAAAUUAAUUAAUACUUAACCCAAAAUUUAUUAUUGCCAUCACUCUUGAAGGACAAUCCUUGCUUUUGCAGGGCAUGGCAAGAUUUUGAAAUAGCACGCCUUCGUUGAGGCAUAUGGGGCCAUAAUAAUUUGGUAACACACGUAGUAUUAGAUAAUUAGAAACUUUUACACGAAAUACUUGUCCAGUCAUAAUUAAUUAUUAUACUUCAUAUGUCCAUAAUAUCGUUUUACUUUAUGAACGUUACAAAUUUUUAAAAAAUGAUAGUGAGUAUUGUUAUGAGUGGAAUUUAGAUUUCACUAUUACUGAGAGUGGAGUUUAUAGACCCUAUUGUUAUAAAUGGAAAUGAAAAUAAUAUUAUGAACAGACCAAAAUAACAAAAGUGGAAAUAAUAUCGUAGAUAAGAUAAGUACUAUUUUCACAUCUCAAUUGUAAUAAGAUAAAAUACUUUUUGUAUCUGAUAUUGUUGGUGGUGGUUUAAGGGAUACAAAUCCUUCAAGUGCAACACAUAUUUUAAAGGGUUAUUGAUGUCUAAAUAAACUAAUUUUGGAGGUAGUCCGUUUCUGUACAUGAAUUUUAAUGUUGUAGAAAUUUUACCAUAAAUUUAAUUUAAUUAUAGAUAUUCUGAACUCUAUAAAAAAACCCAACGAUUUUCAAGUUUAGUGUUUUAUAAAUCUUUCAAAAUGACGUCGUUUAGAGAUGUCCUAUACGACAUCAUUUUUUAAAAUAUUUGAUGAGUACACGUCAACAACAUUCCGACUUGCCACGUAAGUUUUAAUUUGAACAAAAAUUAAAUUUAUGAUAAAUUUGCUACAAUACUAAAAUUAAAGUUUUUUUUAGUCCUUUUAAAAUUCACGUGCAAAAUGUAACUACCUCCAAAAUCGGUGUAUUUAGAGGAUAAUAACCGUAUUUUAAAUAAUAUAGCCAAAAAUGGUAUAAAAUUGCACACGAGAAAGAUGGAGAUACUAACUCUAUAUUGUAGUAGCAUUAAUUAGUUGAAAGUAAUAAUGAAAGGGGAUCUUGUAAAGGGCAGUUUUGGAAUUUGGUGCGGUUAGUCUGGUUGCAUAUUUAAGUUGCAAACUCUCCCUCUCCCCCUCAAACUAAAACAGAAAUGAUGAGUGAUGCUGUAUUGUUGAUAGAUGAUGACUACAAAUGUUGUAGAAUAUGCCAUGAACAAGAUUUCCAAAUCUUGGAAUCGCCUUGUCAUUGUUCUGGAACACUCAAGGUUUUCUUAAUUUCCUCUCUCUCUCUCUCUCUCUCUCUCUACGUAGUAGUAGUAUANCACUACGUUACGUUUACUUUACUCUCUCUCUCUCUCUCUCUCUCUCUCUCUCUAAGGUAUGAAUAUGAUCGAUAUCGAGUUUGUGUUUUCAGUUUGCGCACAGAGAUUGCAUACAGAGAUGGUGUGAUGAAAAGGGCAAUACUACUUGUGAAAUUUGCUUACAGGUACACUAUACGUAUAUCUAUUUUUUGUUGUUAUAUAUAUAUCAUGAUCAUCAUGGAAUCACCUCUACGAAGAUCAUUCUUUUAUUUUGGUUUUUCUUUUCUAUUUCUCACCUCUUCAAUGAGAAUACUGCAAGUGUGUGUGUUUCCCAUGAGAUACAUAAUUAAGUUGAGGAAGGCAAAGGUGAAAGGAGUGGUUUGCCUUUUUUAUCUAAAUUUGAUGUUAGGUUGCUUUCCUACAAGUUUUUCGUUUUUUGCUGUCCAUUUUCAAAUAAAAGCAUUGUGCAUACUACUUUCAUUCGCUAUCUUUUUACCCCCUUGAUUAUCAUCACCCUUUUUUUGAAAAAAAAUCCAGAAAUUUAAACCUGGUUACACUGCUCCAGCCAAGAAGCUGCACACAGCAGCAACCAUGUCCAUAAGGUACGAUCACUAUUAAUUUCAUUCAUUGCUUCCCCACAUUUUUCAUUCAUGCACUUUGAUAGACCUUUUUUAAUAGUCAGGUCCUGAAUUUAUCGACUCGCCUUUAAUAUUUCCCCCUUUUUUUCCACUUACGUUUUAAAUUUUUAACAAUAUGGUUGAGCAUUAAAUAUUAAACAAUUUUUUUUUUUUAAGUUUGUUUGUUGCAAUAAACGAGCCAGAAAUGGAGAGCACAGAAGAAAUUCUUGAAUCUGACUGCACCAGAUGUAUUUCAGCAGUUGAAAUUAGAUGGUUGGCUCUGGUCGUAAGUCUUUACUACUAUGUUGAGUUGAGGUCGAGCUCGAGCUAUAUUUAUGAUGACUACUUAACCUCAAAAUUUGCAGUUCACCAUUCUGCUUCUCGCGAAGAAUUUGCUUGAUAUAAUAAGUGGAGGAUCACAAGGCUACCCAUUUUCACUCGUUACCGUGAGCACGAUUACUACAAGAGCUCGAUUUCUCUCUACAUUUUCAUGGUGCCAACGACGUGUUGUUUGCGCAGGUGUUUAUAGUUAAGGCCACGGGCAUAAUUGUUCCAAUCUACAUUCUAUUUCGGAUUACAGCAGCAAUCCACAACAGCAUCAAUAAUUCAGGUAACUGCUGCAGCCUAGAAAUCGAGUGAUUUUUGUCAAUAUUUUUUUACCUCAUUCUGUUUUCGUGUUUCAGUAUCCCAACCUAUACAUAGUGAGGUCUAGCAAUGGAGACGGUCAAGACGAGGAAGGUAUAGAUGGGGAUGAUAAUGUAUAGACAAAACACGCUCUAUCUAUUCACAAGAAAAAUUGGAAAGAAAGAAAAAAGGAACGUUUUGACCUUCCUUAUAUUGAAAAUGAUAUCAGUUAGUUAGCAGUAGAUAAGGAAAAUGAAAGGCUACCAAAAAUUUAAAAAUGGGGCUUGCAAUGCAAGUUAUUUAAAGCCAUAAACACUAUGGUCUUCUCUUCUUUAUAACAACUAGACAGUCAACAAACUUUAAGAUGAGAUUUCACUUUGAUGGAGAAUGCAAAAUGGACAUCACAUAGGUCCUACACAGAGUGUUACAUCAAUAAUAUCAUGCAUCAGUUAAUUGUCAAAAUUUGAAAAUGUAAGUAAACUCUGUACAUGAAUGAUUAAUCAGAAUAUUUCUGUUAGAGAAAAAGGAUGGAAGAAUAGAGAAAAAUACUAGUAUUGAAUAAAUUUGGAGAUUCAAUAUCAGCAAAUAAUUCAAGCAUCUACAGCACAUGAAUUUCUCGCAUCUACAAUAGUUAUCUAGCUAAACUUGCUGGCUAUGAUAGCAAUGACCAACUAUGAUCAGACAGUUAUCUGUAGCAACACACAACAAAUUAUGCAUUAUACUAUGCAUCACUUCUACUAAGCAUCAAUGAAACGAAUAUCAAAGGUGUUUGGAUGGAUCUGCCACACGUUUAAGGCUGCGUAUUCCUCUAAGCACUCUUUGAGCUGGGCUUCGCUGUAUCCCUGGUUAAACCGAGAUUCAAACAAUAAGAUACCCAGCAUAUAAUACAAGAGAAUUGAAGCGUUCCACGCAGUAUGAGUUUCGAGUAGGGAACGACAUAAUUUCUAGUUCAUAUGAUCAAUUCAGAUACUACAGCAAUCACAUUUACACAGAGGGCAACUUGUCAAAAAAGAAAAUAAUAGGGCUGGCUUAGACCUGAUACUAAUCAGAAACUACUGCUGUUCUAAUCUGGAAAAUCCAAGAGCAUAUGUUACUAGACUUUAAAAACUCACCUUUCUUGAGAUCCAGUUGAGGGCAUGGGCAUAGCUUACAUCCGUUUUGUUAGCUCUUGCAGCUUCAUCACGUAAGAUUGAAUAAAUAUCAGAUAUUGCAUCCAGACCAGACCGUUGGCGGUCAUCUGAAUACAAUGAGAACUUCGACAUUUGCAUUAAUCUAAGAGCCUCGUCUACAUCACUCUGAGCUACAUUGUCAGAGAAUCUGAGUCUUGCCAAAGCCUGAAAAAACAAAAGUUCCAUCUGCCAUGUUAGAGAUUAUACAAAGGGUACAAUUUGAGUGUGUUGAGAUUGUGGUCUAUAUUUAAAAAAUAGUGAAAAUAAGAAAUGGGUUCUGAAAUUUCAUGUUGUAAAGACAUUAAACAAGAUCAGCAGCAUAUAUUACCUUACCAAGAAAUAUAUAUAUAUAUAUCAGGAAAACAAGAUUGUCUAAGGUUGAAAACUUCGUUUUAUUAAGCCACAAAACAAGAUUAGCAGCAUAUAUUGUCUUACUGCUAGUAACCUGUAAAUGGAAUCGACUCACACAGGCAAAACUAUUGCAAAGAUUCCCCCUCUUACAAUAUUUCAGCAGCAAAUAAAGAAACUUACAGCUGAUAUCCUCAGAAUGCUGAGAAGAGUUCUGAUAGUUGUAUACGUGUGUGGAGCAUUUGAUUUCGCUUCUUCCUGCCUGAUACUUGAAUAUGCACUAGCUAUAUAUUCCUCCAAUUCCCUUGGUACAGUAGGAGACAAUUUUCUUGCAGCUGAAAUAUAUGCCCUGAUAAUCACAACACAUUAGGUUAACACAAGGCAACAUUAACUUUUAACAGAUGAGCCACACACAUUAAUGACCAGCAGCCAAAUGUACAAAAAUAUUGUUUUUUAUAAAGUACACAAAUAAAGGAUCACCUUAGCGAACCUUAGUUCCAGGCAAGUAACACAACUCAUAUUUCAUAUUCACAACAAAGUUGACUGGAGAAAUUAGAACCAUCUCCAGCAGUGAAGUUACUGCAACACUUUUACAAUGUUUUAUAGCACACUUACCUAAGGAGAGAUGGCUCAAGAGGAGUGAACCCAAGAUCUGGAGAUUCUUUUGCUUGGUGUACAUGGAGAACAUGCCGAGCCAUUUCAAGAUCAGUAUCCAUAUCUGCUCUGUCCAAGAUCAACCAUAGAAGAUCAAACCUAGACAGAAGAGCUGGAGGAAGAUUAAUAUUCUCAGCAGGUGAUCUCCUUAGAUCAUAUCUACCCCUGCAACACAAGAAAGUUAAGUUGUGAAACAUCUGGAAGACCUCCCACUUAACAAUUAGAAACAACCUGACGAUUUCCAUAUUAUCUAUUGAACUAACUUUAAUUAGAUUCAGUAAGGAAUACAAACUGCAUUGAGUUUACAAAUCAGGUACCAGGCGGGAUUAGCAGCAGCAAGUACAGCAGUCCGUGCAUUCAAGGAUGUAGUGAUUCCAGCUUUAGCAAUGCUAACUGUUUGCUGUUCCAUUACUUCAUGUAUUGCUGUACGAUCAGAUUCCUCCAUUUUAUCGAACUCAUCAAUGGCACAAAUACCCAUAUCUGCUAGUACCUGAUAGAUAUGGUGGUUAUGUAUAAUUGUGCAACAGAAGAAAGACAUAGCCCAAUGGUUUCCAUGAAAAACCAUCCUCACCAGAGCUCCACCUUCCAAAACCAUUUCAUUUGUCACUGGAUCCUUCUGAACAGCUGCAGUCAGACCUACUCCACUACUUCCCUUGCCGGUUGUGUACACGCCUCUUGGUGCAACAUUGAUUAUGUGCUUCAGAAGCUGACUUUUUGCAACACCAGGAUCACCCAUCAAACAUAUGUGUAGGUCUCCUCUAAUCUGCAUGGUACAUGAGGGAAGAUCGACCAUGAGACGAUUAGAAAUUCAAUUUAUUCUAGUGAAAUAUAGAAGUACUCUACACAGGUAGUACCUUCAUGCCAUCUUUUAAUUUUCGAUGAGGAGCACCAACUAGGAGAAGAAGAAGUGCCUUCUUAAUAUCUUCAUGUCCAAAAAUUUCAGGGGCUAACGAUCGUGCUAGUUUGUUAUAGAUAUCACCAUCCUCAGCUAACCGAGCAAUUUGCUCCUCUUCCUCCCCUCUAAGCUCAUAGCUGAUUUAAAAGUUUAAAAUCAACGUUAAGGUGUUCGUAUAACUUAUUGUGCCCACUAGAUAUUUAACUGAAAAGUUAAACAAAUGGAACUUUUAAGAUAUUCCUCUGAACAAACUGGUAGAAUGAUUUGUAAAAUAUCUUGCAAGGCAGUUGCUCGUUAAAUAGAUGAACCUUCAAGUUUCUUAUUCAACCCAGAAUCACUCUACCAGUUUGUUCAGAGGGAGUGCAUCUUAUAGAAGAAGAAAAUCAAUAAAAAGAAUAUUGAAUUGCUCUAGUUACUCAUUUCAUUAACAAUGAAUGUAGGUGGCAUGACAAGGAUCUCUGUUCAAUCAUGGCUACCUCUUCUCUUUCAAUGUCCAAUUGGGUUUACUAACCAUAAUCUUAUUAGAAAAAUUUUAAAAAUCUGUAACUGCACUGCAUUCGCAUUCUGUACAAAACUAUCUGUACAAACAAAAAUAAAUUUUGCUAUUAAUCUUAAGCUAUUAAAAAGUAAUACUAUGACAGCCCACAUGCAUGUAAGCGAAUUACUCUGCACUAAACCUUGGACUAUUGGUCAUGAAAACUUAUGUAAUUGAUGGCAGUCAGAACCUCUUUUUAUUAGUGCAAGUCUUCUUUAACAGACUGUCGUCUAAUAUUUCAUGUAUUCAACAUCAUUUGGCAUUUUAUCUCAUUCCUUAAAGACUACUCCAAGUGGCAUGUAUAGAACUACGAAAACUUACUCUUCAUAUUUUUUCUUGAAGUGGGUGACGGACAUUGCUUCCAAGUAAGUAUCAGCAAUUAAGCCAGCUCGCAUUGCCCUAAACCCAACAUACGGAAUUGGGAGAAAUAUUCCUGAUAACUCUACAACAUCACCAGGAGAAACCUGAAGUAUUAUAGAAAAUAUAGAGUAUAAAGGUUAAUAAGAUUAAGAAAAACAACAUUUAUCUGAAACAAAAGUAAACUCCAGUGAAGGACAAACAUAAAUAAAAAGAGGCAUAAAGGAAAUUGUAUGGACAAAUCUAUCGAAUAGCUUUACUACAAACAGGGAGAACGAAAUCAUAUACAAAUUGGUGCGAGAAACUUAUACUCCGAGAGAAAAUCUGAAGUACUGGUUUAUAGUUAUGCUUGAACUAAACAGGUAGGGUGUGGUACUCUGUCUAAUAUCUUACAUUUUGGUAAUAUUUUCAAACAUAUAAAAAAGGAUCAUUUGUUUGAUAUAUAAAGAUGUCAAACAUUACAAAUAUGCACUCUGAAAUACUUUACAACAAUGAGCAUUGGCUUGGCUGUGAUAUUUUCCCAAGCUCACGUUUGAAAGGUGGAAAUUCAAAUAACCUAGGUAGUCAUGUCUGUGUCAGCUGUCAUGAAAGAUCCCAAGAACAUAUGGCACAAAUUGACAAGUUUUGUGCACUAAGUGUGCAAAACAAGGCUUACUACUAGUACAAUGCAUGUCCAAUAAAUUAAUUUUCAAUCACUAACCUUUCUAGUAAGCUCUCCCCUAAAAUGUAUAGUCAUUGAUCGGGGAAUGUGACCUUUUGGAACAUGUUCAGCCAGUUCUUGAAUUUUGGCCUGAAAAGUAUAUUAGAAAGUUUAGAGGAAGAAAUCCCUUCAGAGGAGUCAUGAGCAUAUAAGCCACAAUGAAAUGCAGACCUCCUGAAACUUCAAAAAUUUUGAUGCUCUGAGUUGAGGGAUGAGCUUCCCUUUUGCAUAGUUUGUUUUGCAUUGUUCAGAAACGCAAUCAAAUAGAGGCAUAUAUACUCGAGCAGUAACUUCCUGUGUCACAUAUAACAAUAAGGUUAUCAACUAAAAGAGUUGAAAGGAUACCAGAACUCAGAAUCAAUUGGGAACAAAAGAUAAAACCUGAUAGAUUUCAAAUCCACACUCCUCACAUGUGUAGACAGCAACCUGCAUUAGCGGUUUGACAUCCGAGCAUCGUGUCACAAUGCCAGAUAUCCUUACAAGUUGGCCGAUAUAUGAAGCUUUAACCUCCCUGAUCGUGAAAGGCCUCCCUUUUGUAGAUGCCUUAACAUAUACUUCGCUGAUAUGACAAAGACAAAAUGUUACUUCCACCUUCCUUAAUAAUUAGCAGAAAAGUAAAACUCUUGCUCCAUAUUUUUUUUCGGAGUCCAUAACUACCAACUAGUGAUGAACCAUAAAAAAACACGCAUAACAUGCAAAUUGGCCCUAACCCAACAUUGUCUUAAAAAAUUCAUUACCGAAAUUAAUCAACCAUUUUCUGUUCUCAUGAUUCGUGUGACACUAAACUAUAGUACUUUUUUCGUUAACUACAAAUCAGCAGGGCUAAUAGAUUUUAAAAAAUUAAAUAAAUUAGAGCAAAUAGUCAAGUAUCAAAUACGACGGAACCCGCAAAACUUACUAAAAUCUUUUAAUUUCAGGAGGCAUUUUCUUUUGGGGAUCAGUAGCUCCAGCAGAGUCAUUUCCUUCCACAACCCUCUGAGUCAUAAAAACAUCGUCUUCAUCAUCCGGAAGCACCUCAGUUGGUUCAGGCAGCAGCUCAUCUAUUGCAUCGGCAAAUAUCCCAAUAUAUCUCCGUGUGUUUUCAGUGACGCGCCUCAAAAAUUCCUCAUCCAAAUCCUUAUACUUAAUUUUUUCAUAAAAGAAAUCAAAACCCUAAAGUCAGAGCUACUCCACCCAAAUUAAUGAGACCAACAUACUAAAAGCAGAAAGUUUACGUUGAUUAGAUCUUCGAGCUCAAUCUGGACGACCUUAAUUUUCCGAUUCGCUACAUCUUGCUGGGUAAUUACAAAUUGAGAGAUCAAAACGAAAUUGUCAAUUAGAGGAGUGGGGAGGGGUGAACUUCAAUUUAUUAAUGCGGUGAAGAAGCAGGGAAAUCUCACAAGGAUGUUAACGUAUUUGGCUUCGCCGCUCGCAUCUGCAAAGUUAGUAAGGAAGUCCUUGGCGAUCUCUGCAAUUCAGAAUGAAAUUUAAAUGAACAAGCAAGAUAAAUAGACGCACGAAAAUGCUAAGACGGAGCGCAGUUAGCUUGCCUCUAUCUUGCUUGAAGUCAAGUUCGUUCAUGGCUGCAGCGUCCGCGUUUGAGCGAGUGUGAGUGUGAGAGUGAGAGAGGGAGAGCGAUGAGCAGUUGGAUAUUGGCGGCAAAAUGAAGAGAGGCAGAAUGUAGAGUAAUAUAGGGUGGAGGUUUUGGCGGGAAAAAGGAGAGCAAGAGAGAGAGAGGGGAGAGCAACAAAUUGCAGACAGGUCCUCAAGAGUUUCUUAUUAUCAUUUUAUAUAAUUGCAUUGCAAGUGCUUGGAUUUCUGAAUAUUACAGUUCGGUGACAUUGGGUUAAGAGCGUGCAUUCGAUUUUUCUGUUUGAUUUUUUAAAAUCAAACCAAAUUUAUAUUUGAUUUUUUAAAAAAAUCGAAUCGAACCGAAUAAAUCGACUAAAAAAAUCGAAUCAAAUUGAAAGACCGAAAUAGUCCAAAACAAACCCGAAAAAACCAAAAAAUCGAAGAAAAAAAAUGAAAUUAAAUUGUACUUUAAAUCAAAAUUAUGUAUAUAUGAAUAUGUAUAAUAUUUUUAUAUAUAAAGUAUAUACUAAUAUUUAUAUAUAUAAAGUAUAUGUGUAUAUAUAUAUAUAUAUUAUUAAAUAAAUAUAAUUAGGUUUUUGAUUUUGUUCGUUUUUUACAAAAUCAAAAGAACCGCACCGAAAAAUUAAAUUAUUUUCAAAAAUCAAAUUGAACCAAACUAAAAAAUCAAAAAAACCAAACUAUAUUUCAAUAUUUUGAUUUGAAUCGGUUCGAUUAUUUUACUCACUCCCAGUAGGGGUAUUUGCAAUUUGCAUUACACCAAUUUACACGCUUUUGGCAAAACAUAUUACUUACGGAAGUCACGGUAAAAAAGAAGCAAAUUGACCACUUCGAAUAUAAAUUAUAUCAAUCAAUUUGCUCUAUCACGGAUCGAAUACAUUGUUCAUCAAUCCGUCUGACCCAAAAAAAUUAUUAUCAUUUAGUGAUUACCCCCGAUUGACCAAUUAAUUCGUGCUAGUAAAAUGGUUCUCNNNNNNNNNNNNNNNNNNNNNNNNNNNNNNNNNNNNNNNNNNNNNNNNNNNNNNNNNNNNNNNNNNNNNNNNNNNNNNNNNNNNNNNNNNNNNNNNNNNNNNNNNNNNNNNNNNNNNNNNNNNNNNNNNNNNNNNNNNNNNNNNNNNNNNNNNNNNNNNNNNNNNNNNNNNNNNNNNNNNNNNNNNNNNNNNNNNNNNNNNNNNNNNNNNNNNNNNNNNNNNNNNNNNNNNNNNNNNNNNNNNNNNNNNNNNNNNNNNNNNNNNNNNNNNNNNNNNNNNNNNNNNNNNNNNNNNNNNNNNNNNNNNNNNNNNNNNNNNNNNNNNNNNNNNNNNNNNNNNNNNNNNNNNNNNNNNNNNNNNNNNNNNNNNNNNNNNNNNNNNNNNNNNNNNNNNNNNNNNNNNNNNNNNNNNNNNNNNNNNNNNNNNNNNNNNNNNNNNNNNNNNNNNNNNNNNNNNNNNNNNNNNNNNNNNNNNNNNNACAUUUUUUUUUGGAUAAAUUAACAAUAUUAAAUAAAGAAGGUUUAAAGAUUGAAGCAAGUCCCCUCUUCCCCGUUUAGAUGGGUACUCUUUUUCCAUCUUGGUCUUUCAGAGGUUUUAAUGAGGCCCGACCCUUAGUCUGCGUUCUGUGCUCUCAAGAGUUUUAGGUUUUUUUGUUUUUUUCGUUAAUAAAAUUUUAUUUUAUCAUCAAAUAAAGAAAUUUAAAGACUGCACCAAAAGGGAGACCUUUGACCUUGGGCAUUAACCCCUUACCACUUGGCCGACUAGAUACAUAUUGAUAUACUCCGCAAGAGAUCGGCUGGUCCUGUCUUUUGUGCAAUGUAUUCAUAUUUUGCUCCUAGAAGUCAUCAAUGCCAAAGAGCUUUCAAAGUUGUUCAAUCUCAAUAUUAGAACUUCAAGAAACCAAUACCAUGUCUGAGGUCUGUAUUAAUUUAAUUGAGAAAUAUUUAGAUGAUGAGCCACACAUUUAUGAAUACCUUGAUUGAGUCUAGUUUUCAAAUGAUAGUCCAAAAUAUUUGUACAGUUUUACACCUCAUAAGGUCCACCAGAAAUUGAUUGAAUUUUAUCAAAUAAUCUAAUAUUCUCAACAAAUGCUUUUGUAACGAGUUAUUCAGUGAUAAGUAACAAUUGAUUAGGCUAACGUCAACUAAUUCAUAUUGAACGAGGACAAGAACAAAACAUAGCAAAAAUCCAAGAGAGCAAAUUAGGUGAUUUUACGAGCAACGAUUUACAUCACAUUGAUAACAUCAGAUAAGAUAAAGAGUUACAAAAAUUGGUUUUUUCUCAAAGGUACAACGCCAUCCCCUCUCCCAGGCAACCACUUGAGCUGCCUAUAAUCUUAAUAUGGCCUCAUUUACAAAAAAAAAAAAAGAAUCUGAAUAGGUCAUCAAGAAAUUCUAGCAGCCAUAGCAUGUUAAAGGCUCAGCUGGGAUUCAAACCACUGGUUUCACGAGACGAUUCAUGUAGUAGAACCAAGAAGAGAGGACUCAUGCUACUUGCCUACUUUGAUUUUUCAUCCCCGCUUUGCUCAGAACUCUUUGCCAGCUUUGCUUGAACUAAUCUGUCCAACACUGGAGGCUCCAGAGGAUUUGCAUCAAGACAACGCUCUGCACUGCUUACUACGACCUGUUCAAUCACACCACAUCAACAUUCUAAUUUAUGUUGCACAAUCAAAAUACACAAUAACUAGCUGAGUCUUCAUUAAAAACUCCAGCCAUUUCCAAGAGAAAUUGACAAUGGUUUGAUAAAGUGAGUAAACAGCACACUUUGAACUUAAAGGCCUUGGUAAUGGCGCCACUUACCUCAUCUAGCAAGAAAUCAACAGCAGCUUCAUCUUCAGCAAUAUCCUUUAAAGUAGUCCUCAAAAAGUGAAUGUCCAAUUGAAUCUGCUGAAAUCCGCUUCGGUUAAAGGUCUGGAGCCUGACAAACUCUUGUAAGCUCUUCAAGGAAAGUUUAACUAUUGUUGUUACAACAGAUUCCUGCAAAUUAUAAGGAAAUAUCAAUAUAUCAUAGAUCAGCUAUUCACUCAAAGACUGCUAGAUCUCAUGCCCAAUUGCCCAUACAAGCAAAGUAUCCCAACCUGUGUGUGCUCGACUUUUGUGAAGAUCUCCAUCUUCUGCUUAAACAAUUUUGCUAGAUGACUCUCCAGAAGCUGGCUUCUAGCCUUCUGAGUAUUUGACCUGCUCAAUCUAUCAUCCCUCAGAGGAUUGCUGCGUGAUGAAGUAGUGCUUCCAUUGCUAUUGUUACGACGAUGUUUGUGAGUGGGGCCUUCAGGCAGAAUUUGCUUUACUUCAGACCUUAUUUCUUCGAGCUUAUGGAUGAAAUCAAAAAAUAAAUUCACAUUAAUUUAUCUAAAAUCCAGAAUGGAUAAUUGAAGUAAAAGAAGAAGGGUGGAAAUAUACAGAAGUCUCAUGGCAAUGAUGUAACUCAAGUUUGUAUUUCAAAAAACUGGAAACAAAUAAAUACAAGAAUAGAAAAUCUAGUUGAGCUUAUUACCUCUUGAAGAAGUAAAUCCACAAACAUAUGCACUUCUCUGGGUUCUUUGUGCUGCAGAAACACGUGAGAAAUAAAAUACUCAGUUAGAUCAACUAUCGAAUUAAGGAUGAAUAAAGUUCAGCAUCAGUGUCACUCACCUUCACCCAGUUCGGGGCUGUGAACCUCUUCUUCAAGAGAACCGAUAUUUUCUGCGUUCUCAUCUUUAUGUACUGAAAAGUACAGUAAGGGUGCAUAAGAAGUAAUGCAGUUAAUGAGCUACUAAUUAUGACAAGAACAACAGAAUGCAUUCAUCAAGACUAUCAAUAAAAUAUACAAAAGCAUUAUCCAGCGUUAAGGAACAUUCAUCAAAACUCUGUCAAGCACCACCAGCCACCACAAACAAAAAUACACCAGCUUAUGUGCUCGGCGCUCUACAUCUGAAACUGCUGCUGUGAAUUAGUAAUACGAUGAAAUCAAAACCUUUACUUGAAACAUUCAUUAUUAACAGAGAACUUGGAUUUCAAACAUAAAAGGUCAAGUCAAUGGCCAAAACAUCAUCAUGGCUGAAGGUUUAGAUCAAGAAUACUCACAAGGUGCAAGAAACUUUCCCCAGAUGACCGAAAGAUGCGACAGAUUUCAGCAGGAACAAUUGCAAGGCCAUGUUGAAGGCCACGGACCCCACCACCACCAGAAAAGGAAGCUAGUUCCUGCAAGUUUGACUAGGAUGUCAGACAAAAUUUCAAACAUAUACAUAUUUAUUGAUUUAAGGACAGCGUUGGGGAUUCAGGAGGGGGGAGGGGGGGUGGACCAGCUCCUUGCCUCUGUGAUUCUGGGGAUGGCCGUUUGUUCGAUAUAAAGAGUUAACUGUGCCAGCACAAGAACAAGCCCAGCACAAAUUUUUUCUCCUUGCAUCUCCUCUAUCAAAUUAACAUCUUGAAAUGCCGAAUUUUUCUUUCCAGAGAACAAGAGGAAAUAGCCAUCAAGCUUCCUGAAGAAAUCUUGGAACCCUUCAUGUACCCAGUCGAUUGUUAAGUCUCUCAACUUGAUUAACAAUUCCGGGUUUUCAUCAAGCAGCAGUCGGAAGUCCUGGGACAAAAGUAUAUACUCACCAUGAAACAGCACUAUAUGACAAAAACCACUUAUAUCUAUAUUAGUGUGAUCAUCUUCUUUUGGUAUAACAGAAAACACAUCAACAUAUUAAGCCCAAAGAAAAUGACUGGCAAUGCCUUCAGAACAACGGAAGGAAAGUUGAGCCUCCUAUCGGUCUCUAAGAUCUUGUGUUACCCCUUAACUUCACUAACCCCUCCCCCCCCCCCCCCUCAUAAUCCUGUAUUUCUUUCAUCGUGAAAAUCUUAAUAAGAUGGCUAUUUUAGGCUUUCAAUAUUUGAAAGAUAAAGCUCUAUUCCUGGAUACCAUGAACGUCGUUUCUGAAAUGAAUUCAAAGAUUGAAGAAUAUCCUAUAUACCAAGAGCACAAGAAUUCUAUUCAAACUGAUUACUUGUGCCCAGUUUAAAUUGUAGAAAUUUUCAAGUUCUAAACCAUGGGUUAUAAUAUAUUAUUGGUCUAUUAUUUAUAAUUAACCAAACCCAGUUUUUGAAAUAAAUAUGAAUAUCCAAGAGUAGAGUUUGGUGAGAAUUGAGUGCUUCAAGGGCGCAUGUGGACAUAAGUGUAACAUUACAAAAUGAUGAGGCUGGUAUUAAGGCGGAAUUAAAGAACAAAAUAUUAUCAGUUCAAAUACCCUUUUACAGUAACACUACAAGUUUGAUUCAAAAAAAGAGUCAAAAUCCAGAAAACCAUUUGAAAUUUAGAAGGGAUGAACAAGCUUAACAUAUGUGAAAUAAAUUUCACAGGAUACAUCUGAUCCGGCUUUUGGGGGACAAAGAGAUGAAAGAAAAACAAUAAGUGCGGAGUAGUAAACUUUACAUAACGGAAACAAUACAAGGGAGCAAUGAUAUAAGAAAUUAUCUAUCCAGGAAUUUAUUUUACCAUUAAGGCAUUCAUACUGCCUUGGAUCACUGCCUUUUUGCUGGCUUCAAGGGCUGCAUGCAACGGAUUUUCUUCCAUCUCUUCUUUUAGUGUAAACUGGAAUUUCUUAAGGGUGUCUGGUAGAUGAAAAGAAGCAACAAUGAGCAUCCACAACUAAAAUUUGACAAUGGCAUGAUCUAAAACCCUAACAAAGUCAUUAGGGUAGCAAAUAAUUUUCAUAUUUCACAAAGUUUAUAGUUUUAACUGUCAGCAGUGAGGUAGAAUGUUGAGCCACAUGGAAUGACUAUCAGAUACAAAUGUAUCUUAAAUUCACAAUUACUAUAUAUAUAUAUAUAUCAAGGUAUAUGCGCUAAACACAAGCUAUGAAUGAAUUAAUUGAUUAUAUAUAUGAUGCAUACAAAGUUCAAGCAUUUCUCAGAACUUAAAUGAGAUUUGGUAUAUAUUAACACAUGGUACAAACCUGAGAUAUUUGUCAAAAGCCGACUAAAUGUGCUGCAGGUGUAAUCUUUGACAGCAACACGGGCAUGCUGGAACAAAAAAUAUAUUUACAAGUUUAUUGACCAUAGUACACUAUAAUUGACAAUGUAAUGUAGGUAGAUAGCCAAAGACAGAAUUUGCUCUUAUACAGUGUACAUUUAGCAAAAAUGUUGCUACCUGCAAAGCAAAAUCUGGUAGGGAAGCUUCAGGUAGCACUUCAUCCAUAAGAAGCACAUCAGUCCAGAUAACUCCUGGAAAAUACAAAAAGCAAAGUAUAGAUGGAACCCACCAAAAACUUUUACUCAUGCCUUUAUGUCUAUGCCGUAAGAUAACAAUAACCAUUUAACCAGACUUUAUUCAUUCUGUCUAUCGUCUUAGCCUUCUGAGAGGUAGGUGGCCAACCAAUACAGAUACCACAUACACAAAUAUAGAUGCCAAAAAAUGAAUUCUCAUCACAAGCUUAGAGUUAUAACAAACACAUAAUGGUUGCUUCCUUCAAGCAUUACAAAUCUACAUAUUGAGCUGGUCACCCUAAAUGACAAUUUCAUACUCAUGCAUUUUUUAUUUUAUUUUUUUGAGAACCAUACUCAAGCAUAUUUAAAAUAUAUUAAUCCUCUCUAAAGAAAUCACGGUUUUGUAUGGCUUUAUAUAACUGUGAAAGAUUUCUUAAAGCCACAUCCAGAGUACAGUUAAAAGCUACACUUUCUUCCACCCCAUGUAAUGCUGUUUGUGGUGGAUUGAGAGAACUAAAGCCAGAUAAAUCUUGCAGCAUAUUCAUGCAAAAACAAAGAAUGAAAAGCCAAUUACCACAAUCAAUAAUGAUAUAUCGUGGAUAAUGUUACUUACGGAGCAUUGCCAAAAGAUCUGCAGAACGGACUUGCUUCAUGAUUUGUUGAUGAAUAGCUUCAAAGUGCCUGAUGUUUAGGUGCAAAGUCAAAUCUCAGAGCAAAUAUGAGAACUUCAACACAAUCUUAUAACACAAAAAGAUGUACAAUAACAAAAAAAUUUAAAAGUAGCCAUACUUCUUAACGAGGUCUUGUCCAAGAUUACAUAGCUGUAGUUCUGAAUGCAAGAAUAUAACUUUAUAAGCCCGGACAGCUUCCACGAAUUCAUGAACAGAUGCCUGAAAGUAAGUAAAACAUUGUAAUCUAAGUGAUGAUACUUGAAGCCUAACAUAUCUAAGCUUCUGAGAGCAGUUGAAACUGAUUCAAGUGCCUGUAGAGAAACAAAACUUUCAAGAACAGUGCAUAUUCAAUGUCUCUGACUUCUUUAAGUGCAUUGCUGUUUACAGCUGCCCAUAUAAGAUCUAUAUGAUGAAUGUAAUUUGCCACCCAACUGAUUCAGAAUCAUUUGUGUUCAAAACUUGCGUAAGCAAACUCUCAGUUGCUAAUUCCUCUCACGGUCUCACCUCAUGUGUGGUAGUAGAAGCAGAAUCCUGGUUAGUAGACUCAUCAAUAUUAACGGGCACAUUUGCUAACUCCUUAUAUUCCAGAUCCAGGUCCACAAGGAACUGCUCCAACUUCUCAAACAAUUUAACCUUCAGAUUUUCAACCUAUUCAACAAAAGGUGAAAAACAAUUAGCAAAAGAUAAUUAACAUCAUGAGCGACUAAUAUAGAACAUUCACAUUCUUUCUCCAAAUGACCACGAACCUAUUGAAGCUGUAUAUUCCUAGAAAGAUCAUCAUUAAAAACCCUAUUUGCUAGGUCUGUAAUGCGUGGGACACAGUGCAUCUCUAAUUAGAAUAUGUUAUCAAGAAACAAAAGCUUCAGCGGAAUAACAAUUAACAAACGAUUAUAGACAUCACAAGCAGAAUAGCAUAGAAGUUCAUAUGAUUUUGCCACAUGGCCAGCAACCCAAAAUAUAAAACAGUAAAUCCCCAGAAAGGCCUACAUUGAAAACCUUAAUAGCUAAGUGUGGUGCAUCAAAAAUUAGAACAUGUAUUGAGAUUCAAGAAACAAAAGCUUUAGAUACAAACCGGAAAAUCCAACUUCUUAAGAAGCAUGACAGCCUCAGCUCUUGCUUGUAUUGACUCAGAAUCUGAGAAAACUUUACCCUGAAAGAAAACACUCAGAUUGACAUUGUAAACGAUACAUUGGAAGAAAAGAGUUUGAGUAACAGAAAUCUUUCAGCACAAAACAGCUCUUAUCUUGCAUUAUUUUUACCCAUUUUAAGAAGCAGUCUACAAUUAGUGACGCAACACAUGUUCAUUUCUACUAUAAAUAAAAUUACAUGUAGCUUCCCCAGAAUGCAUACUAAUAUUAGGGCCAAUGUGAGACCACUAAUGAAAGAGAUCAAAAUUGAUCAUCAAGGGACACUUACUUUUCUAAUUCUUUCAAACCUAACUCUUUCACCAUUAAAAGGAUUAACAAUUCAUGGCCAUACUAUCAUCUUUCAGUGAGAUAUAAAUAAGUGUGUGUGAGAGAGAGCACACAUGUGAGACUGGAAUAUGUCUUCUUUAAUUUAUUGAACGCCAGGACUAUUCAACUGGCAGUAAAUUAUCUAGAGUUCUAGACUGCUGUGUUGGUGAACCAGAACUACUACCACGGCACAAAUAAUUUAGGUUCUGAGAUGUGAACGAAAGCAUAUUCACCCUCCAUAAGGAUUACAAAGUGAGAAACACCAUAAUAGUAAAUACAAUUGAGUAAAAGAAAAGAGAACAUGCCUGCAAGUUAUUGAUAAUUACUGACACUGCUUCUUCUGAUGCACGUUUACAGUCCAGAAAGGAAGAAUCCCCAUACGCCUAAUCAUAGUAAGGGGAGGUCAGAGAUAGGGCAGUUGCUGAUGAAAAAUACGGAGUCCAAUAUCAUUGAGUUAUGCAACAUAACGUGAAUGUAUACAGAUUGGUAAAUAGAAUCAAAAGGCCCAACGGAAGAUGUAAGGAAAAAGACCUUGAAUAUUGGAGUGGCCCCUGUAUAAAACUUUACUGCUUCAGCAUAGGCCUCUGACUUGAUGCAUUUCUGAAGUCUUGUAGGUAGAUCAUAUAUAAACUGCUCCAACAACAAAAUAUAACAUCUUUGUAAUUCAUGCAUGACCAACACAUUAUCAGGGUAUGUGAGAAACACAAGAGCUCUAGUACCUGAACUUUUCGAAGCAGAUUGCGUGUGCGGUGCAACUUCUCUAUAUGUUCUCUCUUUUCGAAAAGAGAAGUAUUAACCCCAUCGCUCCUAGAUUGCACAGAUGUAAUCUGGAAAAUUAACAAGUGGAGCUGUGAUAUAAUUUUGGCUAGUUGCAAAAGAAUUCACAACAUUUAUCUAAUUUUCCAAAUUUAUCAUAUCUUGUUAAUUUUAGCAAUAACAGAACAAACUUCAAAUCAGUUGCAAUUCCUUGUCGGCCUCUAACUUCGGCAAAAUUAAAAUGGAACUAAAGUGGAACCAGACGCUUAUCAAUCUGAUGUUGCACCAGUUCAGAUGUCAUGUUUUCAUGAGAGAGAGAGAGAGAGAGAGAGAGUUUAGUUUCAGUACUUAAUUCUGUCUAGAAAGCGACGGGACCUAAUUAAGUAGGUAAUUAACCAACCCACAUGUGUGUGUGUGUGUGUGUGUGUGUGUGUGUGUGUGGUUUUUGACUCCUGUCUCACUAUGGUUGGGGGGGGGGGGUGUAGGGGCGAGGGGAACUAGGGGCUAACUGCUGCACACUGUGUGUGAUGGUGUGUCUCUGAUAUUCGUUACAGUCCUGAGAAGCCGUGGGGUCCACCACUUACAAAUUCGGCUGCUUAUUCAACCAUGCUUGUGACAAUGAUAGAUUAAAGUGAAGAUAUCGACGCCCUAGCAUCCCGCCUGGGCAUGACUUGAGGAGAGACAGUGAUACCACUACUACCAAGCCAAUUGGUAGCCAAUUGGNUAGAGAGAGAGAGAGAGAGAGAGAGAGAGAGGUUUAGUUUUCAGUCUAAUUCUGCUGAAAGCAGGGACCAUUAAUGGAAUUACAACCCACAUGUGUGUGUGUGUGUGUGUGUGGUUAAAUUGCAAAAAUGACUUGUGCCGUGAAUUUUCUUGUUACUAAUUUUUUUUUUAAUAUACCCUUAUUUUGAAAUUCUAAAAAGUUUUAUUUGACAGAAACCAAAACGAAUCUAUACCAAACACCUUUUCCAGAAGCUGCUCCAUGUUUGUCUCCAUGCCAACAAUAUUGUUUUUCAUCCUAUAAACAGGUGAACAAUUAGGUUGACCUGACAGAGAUUACAUGCAGAUGAAAGUAAAAAAAAAAGUUUAAUGUAACUAAACAUAAAUGAAGAAAGUUGUGUGGACUGUGCGGUUGUGCAAGAUUGAUGUUUACAAACAAAAAAAAUAAUAACUGAGACCAUCCCUUCUAAAAAUAUAAAAUCACAAAUAUGACAGCUCAUUCAAACAGCAAAUUUAUGCAGCCAAAUUACAUGUGUAACUAUAUAGUAUUUGACUGAGACUGAAAGAAGAAAAUUUACUUCUUUAUUGUAUCUGUUGCACUGAUGAAUUUGUUGUAGUUCUCGUACACCAGCAUUUGAAGGUCAGUGUCUAGAUUUUUUAUCUCAGCAGCCAUUUCCACAUGCUUCUGAAGAAGACCCUCCAGGCUUGACUUUUGUACCUACAUAGACAGUCACAAAAUUUAUAAGUUAAGGGAAACAACAUGCAUGGACGAGAGAGAUCCAUAUUUUAGCGGAUUGAGCAGGUUCCUUCUUAUCAAUGCAUGAGCAGCAAACACAAAACAUACACCGAAUAUAAAAUUCUACAUUAGCAAAAUGGUUUAAGCAGUCCUGUUCAUUCAUUACUUUUUCUUUUUCCUUUUUUUUUUUUUUUUGUCAUCAGAUGACAUUUGGAUGCAACGAAAUUGGAGAAACUGAUUAAAGAUAAGUUGAGUAAGAGCCUCCAGAACAAUAAAGCCCUUGCUAAUUAAUACAUAAAUGUUUCUCGCACAAUCCUUGGUUAAGUAUCCUGUACCAUUUAUCUUAUACUAGCAUCCAACCAACAAUCAAGAAUAUCAUGUAAUAUUUCCAACUUAAUGUCAAACUACACAGCAGAAGCUCCGUUAGAGAAAUUAAUGCAAGAUCAAAUGUAGUAGCAGGGUCACAGCACCAAUCCUAUGGUCAUUAUUCAAAUUUUAACCAUACAAAAUUAUCUGUUCCUUCCACCGAAUUUUGAGAUUACCAAUACCCUUUCAUGUCCGAAAACAGCCACCAGCAAUUUAAGUCCGCUAUCUUUCCUCAAUUAAUCAUCAUUCAUAAAAGUGCACGAUUACAACUACAGCACAGAACCCCAGCAACAAGCUCUUUUAAAACACUAAGCAGACAAAUCAACAAAAUGAAACCAAUGAGAGCAAAGGAGGAUCAUGCCACGACACAUAAUGCAACAAGUUCAUAACCAGCGCGGCACUCAAUCACUCGUGGACCAAGCAAAAAUUAGGAAAGAAACAGCCAAUCAAGGAGAGGAACCUCACGCUUGCAAGACAGAAGAGCAUUCGAUUGACAAAGUCAUUCAAAAUCAGAGCGAGAAACGUACGAGAAGAUUCAUGUACUGAUCUGCGUCGAAUGAAGUGGUGUUGAUGGUAUCGAGGGUGGCGAAUCUAGAAACAGUGUUGGGCGGCGGCGAUCCGGAAGACGAUUGGUCGGGAGUAUAGAAACUGGAGAGCAGAUCUCUCAUUCGCUUCGCCUUGUCGUCCAUCGGCAGUGCUCCUUCCACCUCCAUUUUUUCUCACAGCUCAGCUACUGCUUCCUGCAAUUCCUCUUCUUCUGUGAUUUCUGUUGAUCCAAUGAAGACACAAAUUUGGAAAAUAAGUAUUCGGUCGAUUAUUUUCUCUCCCCCUUUCUGUUUUCCACCGCAGUAACUAACAAAUUGGUAAUAAAAUUGGGAAAUUUAUAUUUUUACGCUUUAAAUUUCGGUCAUCUUUCAGAUUUCAAUCUAUAUAAAUUAGCACUUGUGCAUUUAAAUUACUAAUGUUCUUCUUCUUGUGCUACCUUAUCUUUUUAAAUUUUUUUUCUAUUAUCUUAUCUUUUUUAAUUUUUUUAAAUGGCUUCUUCUAGUUCUCGUUGUAAUGACAAGGGCAAGAACCCCAUUAAUUUCACUGUCACCAUUGGCUACCACGAGGUUCUCAUAGAAGUCGUGAUAUUGUUAUCUGAACUAGGCGAGAAUACUUAAAGGAGCCAAAGAGGGGUGAGUUGCUUAAUGAAGAUCCAAAUAAUGUCGACAUUUUGCAAUGGUAGUUAAUGAAGCAAGUUCAAUACUCUAUUCUCGCAAUUAUGGCCAAGGAGAUCUUUACGGUUCCUGUCUCUACAAUAUCAGUCGAACAAGCAUUUAGCGUUGGGGGUAGAGGUGGACCAAAAUACUGAAAAAUCAAUAUAUUGCUCUUAUCAUAUCGAAAAAAUACCGAAAAUACAAAAUUUUUGGUAUAUCGUAAAUUUCGGUACGACAUUGUACCAUACCAAAAAAAUUUGGUACAAUAACGGUAUCAAUUGUUCUCAUACUACGGUAUACCGAUAUAUACCGAUACCGUGGUAUAUACCGAUACUUCGGUAUAUACCGCAUUACCGAUAAGGAUGGCAAUUUUCGACACGACACGAAAACACGACACGAAAUUAAUGGGUUAGUAACACGCACGAUAAGAUUCAGGUCCUUAUCGGGUCGACUUGAUAAGGACCUGAUAAUUUCAUGUCGGGUUCGGGUCGGGUCAGGUCAGGUUCAGGUAACCCGAUAGUAAUAUUAUUAUUUUUAUUAAAUAUUUAUUUCAAUUUUAAAAUUUUGAUUUCUAAUUUUUUAUCUUCACUUUAAUUUAGGGUUUCAAUAUCUUCCAUUCUUCCAACUUCCGCCGCACACCCUUUCAAUUCUAAUUCCGCCGCACUACCAAGUUUUCUUCUCCGAUUCUUUCACCGUCGACUUUCACGGCCACGUCGGCGUCCCGGCGCGGCCCCUCUUUGUUCGCCACCCCUCCCAGUCGCUUCCACUGUCGACUCUCAUGGCCACGUAGGAGGCACGGCGCGGCACCACUUUGUUCGCCUCAAACCGAAUCUUCUUCGAUCUCCACUAUUGCAUGAAGGCUGUCACUUGGAUUAUUAUAUUUUGUUAAGCUUAUUGGCAUUGUCAUUAGCAAGAAUAGUGAAAAUUCUGGAUAAACACUUGGUCUAGUUAUGUUUUGUUAAGCUCACUUGGAUUAUGUUGUAGUUAUGUGAGGGAUUGACGACUCUUGGUUGAUGCAUUGUUAUUUCCGUUUGAGCAUAUGUGAUAUAUUGAUGCUUAUUGGUUUAAUGCAUUAUAUUGAUUGUAUUUUCAGUUUGGAUAUGUUGAGCAUAUGACCGCACUAUUGGUACGACAUCGGCAUGAAAAAUUCAUACUGAUUUUUUUGGUAUACCGAUCUUCAGUAUACUGAAGAUUUUGGUACGAUAACGGUAUUAAAAAUCGCAUGCCAUAAUUUACGGUACGGUAUACGAUAUAGAGAAAAAAAUCGGCAUACUAUAUCAAUCCACCCCUAGUUGGGGGAUACAUAUUUGAUGAAAGGAGAUCCGUGAUGGCGCCAUAUAAUCUUAAAGCCCAAAUUUUACUCAGAGAUCAUACUCUAGCCGAAGCAAGAGAAUAAAUGACAUAACAUAUUUCAAUAGUAUACUUUAAGCACCACCAAAGUCGAGCCAACCGAUUGCUUCGAAUCAUCUCAAUAUACUGAUGCUGGUGAUUUUGAUGAUGAUUUCGACUUCGACAUGUAGACCGACCCUCCAAACCCAAAAGUGAGACGAAGGUAAGAUAACUACGUGGAUUUUGAUUCCUUCGAAAUACGUAGCCAACUUAAUUAACUUAAAUGUUAUAAUAUAGCUCAAGUCCUAAUUUUUUUUUUCUUCUUCUAAUUACAAGUUGUAAUUUUUUUCCUUCAUAAAUUGUAAUUUUUCAUCUUUAGGUUGUAACUAUUGUGAUACAAAUUGUAAUAAAAUCAUUAUAAAUUUUUACUUAGAAUUAUGUUACUAUUAUUUUAAUGUAUUUUUCAUCACAUUUUAAUAGACAACACACAAAAUAAUCCAGAAAAAUAUGGAGCAAAAUAUGAGAAUUUUUUUGAAAAAAUAAAUAAAUAAAGUUUAUCAGUUCAAACUGUGAAUUGUCGGUUCCAAACAAUAAACGAAACCAUUAGUUCACAGCUCGAACCAGUAAACUAGAAUGUAACAAGUUAUUUUUUUGUGACGACGUAUCUCAUCCGGAUAUCCACACGAUACAAAUUAUUCACAUAUUUUAAUAAGUACAAUACUUAUAAAUAUUUAUUAUGAGGUGGUCUCCUAUUGACCCAGGUGUACCGUAUAUUCGAAUUGUACCCAAUCCAAAUCUUGACCCAAUUAGAUUAUCAUGAUCCAUUUAUUCUUGAAAUUACACUAACAGUAACACGAAAUGACACUAACACUAACACGAUCUUGAAAUAACAUUAACACUAUUUUGUUUUACAAAUGACACUAUUUCGAAAUAACUCAACAUUAUUUCAAAAAUAACACUAACACUAUAUUGAAAUGACACUAGCACUACGUGUAAAAUGACAAUAACACUAUAUUGAAAUGACACUAACACUACAUGUAAAUGACAAUAACACUAUAUUGAAAUGACACUAACACUUGACAUUCAGAUAGGAUAGUCCAGUUGGAUUAGAUUUGGGUCAGGAUACGAGUCGGGUACGACCCAGGUGUACGAUGUGUACAGGAUAUUUUGUGUUUUAUUAUAGAUAGUUAUCAAUAUCCUAUUAAAAUAUAUAAAAAUAAUUAAUACCGUGCAUACGAUCGCACAAGAAAAGUAUUAGUUUUUUUCUUUUCUUUUCUUUUUUUUAGCAUGAAAUAACCCUUAAAUAUUAGUGGUAGCUUGUAUAUGUGUACGACAAAAAAAAAAAAAACAAAAUGAAUUACACUUAACAAAUAUUCGUUCGGUCCCAUUUAACAUGAUUCAUUCAUCAUUUUGGGUUAUCUCGUUAUAAAUAACUCAUUUUAAAAAAAAAAUUAUCUCACAAAAAGUUUGUCGACUGCAUUAUUUUUUUUAUCACUUUUAUCUUUUAAGUAAUUAUUUAUUUUUUUAAUAAUCAUGUCCAAAAGUAAGUAGUUUUACGUAAGUAGUUAUAUAUAGUGGACUAAUGGAAUAAUUAUAACUUCAUACAUUUCAAUCACAGAUUUAUCCACUCGACAGUCUCGACUACACCCUCGAGCAAGUUUCUUCCUUUCCUACUUGAAAACAGCCAGAUUUCUCUAUGACAGACAGCAACUUGGGUGCGGACGCCAUCCCCCUUAGCUUAAUUAAUUAUACUUUAUUGCAAUUGGAUUCAUUAAUUAAAAUUAAGCAAUAGUGAAUUAAAACUUAAUCCUGGUCUAUUAUACAUAUAUAUUUUUUGAAGAAUGGCCUAUUAUAUUUUAACUAAAGAUAAUUAUUCCUCAAUUACGAUUUAAUAAUCAAAUUUUUAAACGUUAGUUAAAUUAAUUACUUUCACAAAUUACCUGCAGCGGGAUGUCAAAAGAUCGGAUUUACAUCCAUGGUUAUUCUUGCCGAACUCCAUGCAAUUUUAGUGGUGGUGGGCUUUUGUUUGGAGAAUGAUACCGGUCCGAUGGUUGUUUACACAAACUCUCUUUUGGCGACUCAUGUUUUACAAGACACUUAUCAUGGUUCCGAGUCUUUAUGCGAUGACCUUUGGGAGGCUUUUGCUCAUGCGCGGAAUUUUAUUGUUUUGGAUUUUCUUCACGUUAGACGUGAGGCUAAUCGGGCUGCUCACGAGUUUGCUCGUUUUUCGUUGUUUUCUUUUGAUGAUGUUGUUUGGAAGACCGAUUUUUCUAAUUGGCUUCUAGACAUUGUUGAUUCCGAUUUGAAUUAAUAUAUGGCACGUCUUUACCUUCAAAAAAAAUUAUACUUGCACAAGAUUGCGGCUCUUUUCCUAUUACCAAACAUACUGCAUCUCUUACUUUACGACGAUACGUGUGUAAUCAAUUUAAAACUUUGUUUAAGACCAAAUAUGAUAUGUUUAACUGAAAUAUUUGUAUUAUAUAAAAUAUUAAUUAAAAUUAUAUUUGGUAGAAUUUAUGUAAAUUUCUAUAUUAUAUUAUUUAUUAUUUUGUUCAAUGUAUUAAAAUUAUAGUACUCCCUCCGUCCCAUGAAUCUUGACACUUUUGAUUUCAGCACAGAAUUAAGGAGUUGCAUAUUAGUGUUUUAAGUGCGUAGGUAAUAAAGUAUAAAAGUGAUAAAUAGGUGAGAGAAUGUAAUAAAGUGAUAAAAUAUGAGAGAUAAUGUAAUUAAGACCCCUUAUUUUUGGACUAAUUAUUACCUUAUUUGAAAAUGUAUCAAGAUUCGUGGGACGAUCCAAAAAAGAAUACGUGUCAAGAUUCGUGGGACGGAGAGAGUAUAUAUAUUAAUAAUUGCUAUAAUUAUAAAAUUUAUAAUGGUAUCCAGAAUCACAUAUGAUAUAUAGAAUCACAUAAAUCUGUACAAUAUUGUUAAACUUUAAUUUAUAAAAGACUGUAUAUUUUUUUAACAAACAAGAUAGAAAUAAAAUGUGAUACAAACAGUGUUGAGACGAGUAGAAAGAAAAAUAUCGUGGGCGGAAUUGGCAUUUUAGAGCGAAGAUUCCUUCACUUGAAUCACUUCAUAGCUGUAUUCGAGUACGUAUAUACGACGCCACACCCCACGCACAUUCACCGACGCCACUUUCUCCUUCAAUAAUAAAUCCAAAUUCAACUCUUUCUAGAUUUUCAAUUUUCAAUUUUAAUUUUAAAACCCCCCAAAUCACUUCGCUUUUCCUAUAAAUUCCACCUUCCUCAACCUCUCAAACCUUCCCUUGCCAACUUUUGCAACUGCAGCUGUAAGGUUAGUCCGAUUUCUCCUUUUUAUGUCUUCUGUUCCUUUUUAUUUAUUUAUUUAUUUAUUUAUAUAUAUAUUUCGAGUUUCUGUUAUUUUUUAUUUAUAGGUAUGUCUUAUUGAAUUGUUUAAAUCUGGUUCGGCUUCCAUGAUCAGAGAGUAAUCCGUUUUUUGUUUUUGUUUCUCAUUUCAUUUGCAGAUUGGUUUCUGAUCGGAGCUGUCUGAUUUGUUUUUCUCGAGAUACUGUAGACUUUUUUGUUUGCGUUUCCGGAAUUUGAGUGGUUUUCGAUAAGGUUAUGAGGUUUUAAUCUCUAAUUUUUAUUGACAUUGGCGAUGCUGAUGCAUAAGAUUAGAAUUCUUCACUCGUUCUCGGUAGUUUUCCUUUACUGGUUCUAUGAAUUUGCACGCUAAGCCCUAAUUUUGUUCUGCUGUAUCAUUUUUUUCUUGCUUUCUUUAAUCAUUCGAUCCCCAAUAUUAGCCGAUCAGGUCGAGUCAAAUCUGCUGUAGGGUUUUGUAAACAUUAUUUAAUUGUAAAUAAUCAAUCGCUCGAUCAUUACUGCGAUAAUAUUUGAGGAAUGGCUUCAAAACAAUUGCCAACGAGCCCGGGCUCUGAUUGUGAUGAAAGGAAGAGGAAGCGGAAGCUGUCUAAUCGUGAAUCAGCGCGUAGGUCUCGGAUGAAGAAGCAGCAACGCUUGGAUGAGCUGAUUGGAGAGGAGGGCCGGAUAAAGGAGGAGAACAAGAAGCUGAGUCAGAUGAUUGAUGCUACUGCUCAGCUGCACUUAAACGUUGCGUCCAACAAUAAUGUGCUGAGGGCUCAGAUUGCUGAACUCACUGACCGCCUCAGGUCGCUCAAUUCUGUACUUCAGAUUGCCUCCGAGGUGAGCGGCCUUGUGAUUGAUAUUCCAGACAUCCCGGAUGCCUUGCUUGAGCCGUGGCAGCUGCCUUGCCCGAUUCAGUCUGCCCCUGCUUCUGUUGAUAUGUUCCAAUGCUGAAAUGGUGGAGUGGAGGAAGUUUCUGAUGGUGAAUGUUGAUGUUGUACUAGCCCUCUUAGCCUUAGGUGUAGUCUCAUAUGUUAAUCCUGCAAUUGUUACCACAACAAUGAUUAGGUUGUGGUCGGAUUUGCUCAUUUGCACUAUUCUUAUGGAAUCUAUUGAAUUGAAAUUGCUCUUCUUUAUGCUAGUGUUUGAUUGAUCUCUGUGAAGUUGAAAGAUUCUUUAGUAGUAGUAUAUGCUGAUAGCUGCGAUUUUGUCAUUCGAUUUUGUUUGAUAUGAUUGUGCUUAUGAUGCUUGAUUGCUUGUUCAACACUUUCUAAGAAUGUUUUUGUAGAAAUAAAUAUGUAUAAAAAGUUAAAUCUCUUAUUUUUGUGUUGAUAUGUAGAGUUUUUACGCCAGCAAUGUUAUUAUCCAGCUACAAAGCAGAUUAUUCGAUUUUGUUUAAUAUGAUUGCGCUUUAUGGUGCCCGAUUAAACCUCUUUCUAGGAAGUGAUUCAAGUUAAAUUAUUGCUACUUGAGAUCACAUGUGUGUUUGCCUUAUUUGUGUACAUUUUGUGACCUGUUAGAUUAAAUUAUGUAUACAUGGAGCCAAUUCUUAAUUAGAUGUAGUGAAUAAAUUCUCUAGCAUUCAUACAUCCCUCUUGAUCUUUGUUUCAUACAUUAGUAGAAGGGAACAUUGAAGCAUAGGUUUGAGAUCAAGAAACACAAGUUAGUCAUCAUAAGUUCUGCACUCAUCUGUCUCUGGAUUAUCCUUGCAGUAGUUCUCCAAUGGAUCAGCUUCCUUCUGCCUGUCCCUAGCAUGGCUGGCCGCCGCGCUCAGCUCCUCCACCUCGUCCCACGCGGCCUUGCAUUCGCCGCUGACGGGGUCCUCCGAGCAGGCCUCCUUUGCAUUCUUGAUGCUUUCCUC